rnacentral:lncRNA from 1 species
GCGGCUCCACGCGCCUGCCGGGGACAUGAUGCGUGCUUGUGCAUGCCGGAGGCUAAUUACUAGGAUUCUUAAUUAGGUGUAGGGAUCAGAUGGGGUGAGGGGAGGAAUGUUUAGGGCAAGAGUUUCAGCUGUUGGUAAAUUAUAAAGGACUGCCAAAAUCAAAGGAGGAUCAAUCCGGUUUGGGGUUUUUAGAAGAUGUAUGUACUCCAUGGGUGUGUUGGGAGAGGUUUCUUUCCCUCCUGGAGGGAGGAUGGCUUGGCUGGGUUGGGUUGGCCUUGUAAAAUGGAUGUCAAUUUGAUGAAAUUAAUGCUAGAGCUCUUGUUCACCUUAUUACUUCUUUCUCCAUCAAUCUAUAUAUUACUUGUACUUGGCAUUUCAGCGUCUUUUAGGAGAAGAUGAUAAUACAUCAUGAGCAGAACAUCCUUCUCAAUGUGUUGGCUAUUGAUGAUGUUCCUAGCUCGGACCAAUUUGGUACCAAAGGUUCACGCAUCAACAUCUUGCUAACCGAAAUAUCAAUCGCUCAAUAAUUAAGUUCAUUGUCUCUAAACAUAAUUUGGACUUACUCAAUUGAAUCUGGAUAUUUAUUUCUUCUGUGGCAGAGUACCUAAAUCUCCAGCCGCUUAAAUGUUUAAAGGGGAAUAUAUUAUGUUUAAAUCCCACAUUAUUGUAAUAAGGAGGUGUAGAUGGAACUUCUUGAAUGUUUGUCUAAUGUGGUCGUUCUGACACCUUAAUUAGAUUCCUGUUGGAUUAUAUAUUAUAUUAUGUAAACUAAAUUAGUUGAAAAAUGUACUCCCUCCAUUCCACAAUGUAGUGCUUCUCUAUCCGCGUGCUUCAACUUUGACCGUAAAUUUAACUAUCAAAACCGAUUGCGGCGGGGGCAAAAGUUAUAUCCGUGAAUUCGUAUUCGAAAGAAGUUUUUAAUUAUGUAACUUUUUCUCCCGCCGCAGUCGGUCUCGUUCGUUAAAUUUAUGGUCAAAGUUCAACCUCGGGAAGCGUGGGCGCACUAUAUUUUGGAAUGGAGGGAGUAUCAUCCAGCUAGUCACUACCUUAUUUUAGGAUUGCAUUACAUUCACCUCAUGAUUGCUCAGACGCAUUUAGAUUCAUGCACAAGAAAUGACCGACAUACAUAGCCAUAUAAUCGUAAAAGAAUGUGGCCAUAAAACAUUGGGUGGAAAAAAACAAUUAUUUUGCCGAAAAAAGGUCAUACCAUCCUCAACCACGGUUUUCUCAAAACAUUAACACACAUUGUCUAAACUGGCAUGCUAAGGGCCUCUCUCAUACAGAGCUUCUUUGGAUUGAAGGAAUUUCAUAGGAAUCUGAAGGAUUCCAUUCCAUAGGAUUUUAAGCCCUUUGGAUCAUAGGAUUGAGACACCAAAUUCCUAUGAAACCCAUUGUUGUGCUACUCAUUCCAUAGGAAUCUAAAACCUCAUUCUAAUUUUCCUUUGAGAAGUUCAAUGCACUUAGUACACUCUAUCUCUGAUGACCCACAAGUAUAGGGGAUCUAUCGUAGUCCUUUCGAUAAGUAAGAGUGUGGAACUCAACGAGGAGCAGAAGGAAUGACAAGCGAUUUUCAGCAAGGUAUUCUCUGCAAGCACUGAAAUUAUCGGUAACAGAUAGUUGUGUGAUAAGAUAAUUCGUAACGGGUAACAAGUAACAAUUGUAACUAAGAUGCAGCAAGGUGGCCCAAUCCUUUUUGUAGCAAAGGACAAGCCUGUACGAGCUCUUAUAUAAAGCAAAGCGCUCCCGAGGACACAUGCGAAUUAUUGUCAAGUUAGUUUUCAUCAUGCUUAUAUGAUUCGCGUUCGUUACUUUGAUAAUUAGAUAUGUGGGUGGACCGGUGAUUGGGUGUUGUCCUUACUUGGACAAGCCUCCCACUUAUGAUUAACCCCUCUCGCAAGCAUCCGCAACUACAAAAGAAGAAUUAAGAUAAAUAUAACCAUAGCAUGAAACAUGUGGAUCCAAAUCAACCCUUAUGAAGCAACACAUAAACUGGGAUUUAAACUUCUGUCACUCUAGCAACCCAUCAUCUACUUAUUACUUCACAAUGUCUUCACCUAGGCCCAAAUCAUGGUGAAGUGUCAUGUAGUCGACGUUCACAUAACACCACUAGAGGAGAGACAACACACAUCUCAUCAAAAUAUGGAACGAAUACCAAAUUCACAUGAUUGCUUAUAACAAGACUUCUCCCAUGUCCUCAGGAACAAACAUAACUACUCACAAAGCAUAUUCAUGUUCAUAAUCAGAGGGGUAAUAAAUAUUAUUAAGAAUUUGAACAUAUGAUCUUCCACUGAAUAAACCAACUAGCAUCAACUACAACGAGUAAUCAACACUACUAGCAACCCACAGGUACCAAUAUGAGGUUUUGAGGCAAAGAUCAGAUACAAGAGAUGAACUAGGGUUUGAGAGGAGAUGGUGCUAGUGGAGAUGUUGAUGGAUAUUGACCCCCUCUCGAUGAGAGGAUCAUUGGUGAUGACGAUGAUUUCGAUUUCCCCUUCUAGGAGAGAAGUUUCCCUGGUAGAAUAGCUCCACUAGAGCCCUAUAUUGCUUUUGUUGGGAAACAUAGAAUGCAAUUUUGAUAACCCACAAGUAUAGGGGAUCGCAACAGUUUUCGAGGGUAGAGUAUUCAACCCAAAUUUAUUGAUUCAACACAAGGGGAGCCAAACAAUAUUCUCAAGUAUUAACAAUUGAGUUGUCAAUUCAACCGCACCUGAAAGACUUAAUAUCUGCAGCAAAGUAUUUAGUAGGAAAGUAAUAUAGAAGUAACGGUAAUAGUGGCAAAAGUAAUAGUAUUGGUUUUGUAGUGAUUGUAAUAGUGGCAACGGUAAAGUAACUAAGCAAAGGUCAAUAUAUGAAAAGCUCGUAGGCAAUGGAUCAGUGAUGGAUAAUUAUGUCGGAUGUGGUUCCUCAUGCAACAGUUAUAACAUAGGGUGACACAGAACUAGCUCCAGUUCAUCAAUGCAAUGUAGGCAUGUAUUCUGAAUAUAGUCAUACGUGCUUACAGAAACGAACUUGCAUGACAUCGUUUGUCCUACCCUCCCGUGGCAGCGGGGCCCUAUUGGAAACUAAGGGAUAUUAAGGCCUCCUUUUAUUAGAGUACCAGACCAAAGCAUUAACACUUAGUGAAUACAUGAACUCCUCAUACUACGGUCAUCACCGGUAAGUAUCCCGAUUAUUGUCACUUCAGGGUUAACCGAUCAUAACUUAAUAGGUGACUAUAGACUUGCAAGAUAGGAUCAAGAACUCACAUAUAUUCAUGGAAACAUAAUAGGUUCAGAUCUGAAAUCAGGGCACUCGGGCCCUAGUGACAAGCAUUAAGCAUAGCAAAUUCAUAGCAACAUCAAUCUCAGAACAUAAUGGAUACUAGGGAUCAAACCCUAACAAAACUAACUCGAUUACAUGAUAAAUCUCAUCCAACCCAUCACCGUCCAGCAAGCCUACGAUGGAAUUGCUCACGCACGGCGGUGAGCAUCAUGAAAUUGGUGAUGGAGGAAGGUUGAUGAUGAUGAUUGCUACCUCUUGAGCACUGCGUUGGUUUUCCCUUGAAGAGGAAAGGGUGAUGCAGCAAAGCAGCGUAAGUAUUUCCCUCAGUUUUUGAGAAACAAGGUAUCAAUCCAGUAGGAUACCACGCGCAAAUCACCUCCUACCUACACAAACAAAUAAGAACCUCGCAACCAACAUGAUAAAGGGGUUGUCAAUCCCUUCACGGCCACUUGCAAGAGUGAGAUCCGAUAGAGAUAAUAAUAAGAUAAAUAUUUUUGGUAUUUUUAUGAUAUAGAUUGAAAGUAAAGAUUGAAAAAAAUAGAUUGGAAACUUGUAUGAUGGAAGAUAGACCCGGGGGCCAUAGGUUUCACUAGUGGCUUCUCUCAAGAUAGCAUAAGUAUUACGGUGGGUGAACAAAUUACUGUCGAGCAAUUGAUAGAAAAGCGAAUAAUUAUGAGAAUAUCUAGGUAUGAUCAUGUAUAUAAGCAUCACGUCUGUGACAAGUAGACCGACUCCUGCCUGCAUCUACUACUAUUACUCCACACAUCAACCACUAUCCAACAUGCAUCUAGAGUGUUAAGUUCAUAAGAACAGAGUAAAGCUUUAAGCAAGAUGACAUGAUGUAGAGGGAUAAGCUCAUGCAAUAUGAUAUAAACCCCAUCUUUUUAUCCUCGAUGGCGACAAUACAAUACGUGUCGUUUCCCUUUCUGUCACUGGGAUCGAGCACCGCAAGAUUGAACCCAAAGCUAAGCACUUCUCCCAUUGCAAGAAAGAUCAAUCUAGUAGGCCAAACCAAACUGAUAAUUCGAAGAGACUUGCAAAGAUAACCAAUCAUACAUAAAAGAAUUCAGAGAAGAUUCAAAUAUUGUUCAUAGAUAAUCUUGAUCAUAAACCCACAAUUCAACGGAUCUCGACAAACACACCGCAAAAGAAGAUUACAUCGAAUAGAUCUCCAAGAGAAUCGAGGAGAACUUUGUAUUGAGAUCCAAAGAGAGAGAGGAAGCCAUCUAGCUAAUAACUAUGGACUCGAAGGUCUGAGGUAAACUACUCACACAUCAUCGGAGGGGCCAUGGAGUUGAUGUAGAUGCCCUCCAUGACCAAUGCCCCCUCCAACAGAGCUCCGAAAAGGCCCCAAGAUGGGAUCUCUUGGGUACAGAAGGCUGCAGCGGUGGAAAUAGGGUUUUGUGGUUCUCUCCGAUGUUUUCAGGGUACGUAGGUAUAUAUAGGAGGAAGAAGUAGGUCGGUGGAGCCACGAGGGGCCCACGAGGGUGGAGGGCACGCCCAAGGGGUAGGCGUGCCCCCUGCCUCGUGGCCUCCUCGUUGAUUGCUUGACGUCCACUCCAAGUCCUCUGGAUCGCGUUUGUUCCAAAAAAUCACGCUCCCGAAGGUUUCAUUCCGUUUGGACUCCGUUUGAUAUUCUUUUUCUGCGAAACACUGAAAUAGGCAAAAAAACAGCAAUUUGGGCCGGGCCUCCGGUUAAUAGGUUAGUCCCAAAAAUAAUAUAAAAGUGUAUAAAUAAGCCCAUUAAACAUCCAAAACAGAAUAUAUAAUAGCAUGGAACAAUCAAAAAUUGUAGAUACGUUGGAGACAUAUCAAGCAUCCCCAAGCUUAAUUCCUGCUCGUCCUCGAGUAGGUAAAUGAUAAAAACAGAAUUUUUGAUGUGGAAUGCUUCCUAACAUAUUUCUCAAUGUAAUUUUCUUUAUUGUGGCAUGAAUGUUCAGAUCCGAAAGAUUCAAGAUAAAAGUUUAAUAUUGACAUAAAAUAAUAAUACUUCAAGCAGACUAACUAAGCAAUCAUGUCUUCUCAAAAUAACAUGGCCAAAGAAGGUUCAUCCCUACAAAAUCAUAUAGUUUGGUCAUGCUCCAUUUUCGUCACACAAGAAUGCUCUCAUCAUGCACAACUCCGAUGACAAGCCAAGAAAUUGUUUCAUACUUUAGUAAUCUAAAAAAAAUUCAACUUUCACGCAAUACAUGAGCGUGAGCCAUGGAUAUCACACUAUGGGUGGAAUAGAAUAUAAUGAAGGGUGUUAUGUGGAGAGGACAAAAAGGAGAAAGUCUCACAUUGACGCGGCUAAUCAAUGGGCUAGGGAGAUUCCCAUCAAUUGAUGUCAAUGCAAGGAGUAGGGAUUGCCAUGCAACGGAUGCAUUAGAGCUAUAAAUGUAUGAAAGCUCAACAAAAAAAACUAAGUGGGUGUGCAUCCAACUUGCUUGCUCACAAAGACCUAGGGCACUUGAGGAGGCCCAUUGUUGGAAUAUACAAGCCAAGUUCUAUAAUGAAAAAUUCCCACUAGUAUAUGAAAAUGACAAAACAAGAGACUCUCUAUCAUAAAGAUCAUGGUGCUGCUUUGAAGCACACGUGUGGAAAAAGGAUAGUAGCAUUGCCCCUUUUUUUGGCCUUCUUUUUUUAUUUGGCCUUUCUCUUUUUUUGGGACAAUGCUCUAUUAAUGAUGAUCAUCACACUUCUAUUUAUUUACAACUCAAUGAUUACAACUCGAUACUAGAACAAGAUAUGACUCUAUAUGAAUGCCUCCGGCGGUGUACCGGGAUGUGCAAUGACUCAUGAGUGACAUGUAUGAAAGAAUUAUGAACGGUGGCUUUGCCACAAAUACGAUGUCAACUACAUGAUCAUGCAAGGCAAUAUGACAAUGAUGAUGCGUGUCAUAAUAAAUGGAACGGUGGAAAGUUUCAUGACAAUAUAUCUCGGAAUGGCUAUGGAAAUGCCAUAAUAGGUAGGUAUGGUGGCUGUUUUGAGGAAGAUAUAGGGAGGUUUAUGUGUGAUAGAGCGUAUUGUAUCACGGGAUUUGGAUGCACCGGCGAAGUUUGCACCAACUCUCAAGGUGAGAAAGGGCAAUGCACGGUACCGAAGAGGCUAGCAAUGAUGGAAGGGUGAGAGUGCGUAUAAUCCAUGGACUCAACAUUAGUCAUAAAGAACUCACAUACUUAUUGCAAAAAUCUACAAUUAAUCAAAAACCAAGUAUUACGCGCAUGCUCCUAGGGGGAUAGAUUGGUAGGAAAAGACCAUCGCUCGUCCCCGACCGCCACUCAUAAGGAAGACAAUCAAAUAACACCUCAUGUUUCAAAUUUGUUACACAACGUUUACCGUACGUGCAUGCUACGGGACUUGCAAACUUCAAGACAAGUAUUUCUCAAAUUCACAACUACUCAACUAGCAUAACCUUAAUAUCACUAUCUCCAUAUCUCAAAACAAUCAUCAAGUAUCAAACUUCUCUUAGUAUUCAAUGCACUUGUAUGAAAGUUUUUUAUUAUUCCUAUAAGUGAAGCAUGAGAGAUCAAUUAUUUCAAUAAAAUGAAACCACCACCAUGCUCUAAAAGAUAUAAGUGAAGCACUAGAGCAAAAACUAUAUGGCUCAAAAAGAUAUAAGUGAAGCAUAUAGAGUAUUCUAACAAAUUCCAAUUCAUGUGUGUCUCUCUCAAAAGGUGUGUACAACAAGGAUGAUUGUGGUAAACUAAAAAGAAAAUACUCAAAUCAUACAAGACGCUCCAAGCAAAACACAUAUUAUGUGGCGAAUAAAAAUAUAGCUCCAAGUAAAGUUACCGAUGAACGAAGACAAAAGAGGGGAUGCCUUCCGGGGCAUCUGUCGGUGUCAAAACCGACGGAUCUCGAGUAGGGGGUCCCAAGCUGUGCAUCAUGUAUCGAUGGGUAACAGGAAACAGGGGACAUGAUGUUUACCCAGGUUCGGGCCCUCUUGAUGGAGGUAAAAACCCUACGUCCUGCUCUUGUUUAUAUUGAUGGAGUAUCAAGUACAGAGUUGAUCUACCUCGAGAUCAUAUGUUGUGGUCUAAAACCUGAGGGUAUGAUGAAUAAUGUCAUAAUCAUCUAUUGACUAGCCUGGCCUCGGCUUAUAUAACAUACCAGAUGCCUAGGAUAACAAGAGUCCUAGUCGAAUACGUCGGUGGAGAGGAGUCCUUGUCUUGAUCACCAAGUCUUGUGGAAUCUUCCUCGUAUAUGUCUUUGGCUGUCCGAACUGGCCCAUGAGCAAACGACCAUGGGGGUCCUCGGCCCAAUCCAACUGAUCGGGAGACGAUGUGGUGAGUACCCCCUAGUCCAGGACACCGUCAGUAGCCCCCUGAACCAGUCUUCAAGUUGGGGACGCUCCUUGGUUCUUCCGAACUAUUCUUCGUCUUCGGUCGUCGGUCUUGAAAACUGGUUCAACAAAUCUUCACAUCUUCUAUCUUGAGGAUUGCCGAGCUAAAUUUGAAGAUCUCACACGUCGGGUAUCCGAGGAGCCCUUUAAGUCUUCGGCCUUUAUCAAUGCCUUGUUAUUUUUAUGCCACAACUUGGGUUUGAAGUUGUUCCAGGGCGGCAGUGUCCUCUUGCGUCGGAGCUCCAACGCCGUACUAUAUUCGAGGUAUCGUCUGCAGACGAGCACCAACGCCGGACCGCUUCCGAGCUCCAACGCCAGAAUGUAUCCGAGAUCCAACGUCGGACUAUGUCCAAGCUCCAAUGCCGGACUAUGUCCAAGAUCCAACGCCGGACUAUAUCCGAGGUGUCAUAGAUCACCUUGGUUCAAAAAAGUAGAAAGAGUUUAGCCAAGCUUAAUGCCGGAAAUGCUCUCUAUGGGGCCAGCCACUCGCGCCCGAGCUUUAUGCCGGACUGCUUCCGAGGUGGUGCACCACCCCGACUAUGGGCCUAUUUUUUGUCAAUAUUUUUGAUUGGUGCAAUUUAUUCUCUGCCGAGAUAUAUAGCCAGUAGCCCUCAAGGCGUGUAUCGGUCUAAAACCCGAGAUGCACCUGAAGGAUGACAUAAGACCGCUGAUCCCGGUAGCCGCUGAGACUCAGGUUGAUUUGCAAAAUCAGUCUAAGGACCAACUCCUAGCUCGGCAGAAUACUUCGGGACACAAAAAGCGGUGUGCAGAGUCCUCGAGACUCAAGUUGGGUGCGGCCUACCAACCUAAGGAUCAUAAUCUCCUCAAAAGCUAUAUUGCACUUAAAUUUACUGCACUGGAUUGCCAAUGCAGUAGCCCCCGAGACACUGGUCGGGUGGCAACACCAGAUCAGGGGAUCGAUGUGCCCCUUUAAUAUUAGUAAAUGAUAAGCCCGAAGCCUAGUAGCCCCCGAGCCUUAAUGCGGGCACGGGUGGACCAAUUAAGGAUCGAUAUCCAGAGUAAAAUCAUAAAUUAUGUGUAAUGAUUCUAUGUAUCCAAGUACUUUACAUCAUUAAUGCUCGGAUCCCCAUUGUACAAAACUUUGUUGACCGACCAUCGGCUUCCACCUUCUCGGUUAGUAGCCGAGGAGUGUUUGUCCUACUUUAUAAAGCCUUUAUGAGGGAAAAGAUUUAUGACAAACAAGGCAAUCUGGCCAUACGAUUUUAUAAACAAAGGUACGCAAAGAGAUAUGUUAUAUUACUAUUUAACAUAAGAAAUGUCUUCCAAAGAAAAUAGUCCCGCUAUCGGUUCCUUUCUUUGGGUUGUCAUGCUAAGCAUGGUCAUGAAACCUCAGCUCUAAUGCAAGAGCAAAAUAUUGAUGAUUUAGUUUGGGAGGCCAGCUACUAGCCCCCGGUAGUGUUCCGCGACAGUCGAGGUCAAGCCGUAAACACUUCGGCCAAUGUUAUGAAUGGCCUGUCAUUUAACACGGGGUGACCUAUAUCGAUCUUAUAGUUUAACACAGUCAUCGGGUCACUGACCAGUUUGCGCUUAUUGUGACAGUCAGUUUUCGACUUUCUCCACUGAGGCGGUUAACCAUGCUAGCUAGAAGCACAAUCGUAGUGGUUCUCCCUUUGCGCACCUAGCCGAACAAAGCGGAACAUAGGAGGCAAGCACAGGAGCUGGGCAACCCAACUAUUGACCGAAGACACAAUUCGAAACCGAUGCAUAUAUAGCAAUAUUCGAGAAUGUUUUUGCCAAAUCUCUAAAGGUGUCCGGCGUUGCACUGCGAGACUUAUGCUGAAAACACACAAAUAGUUUAAAAGUGCCAUAAGCUUGGAAAACCAAAAAAACGUCAGUAAAAACUUGAUGUCCGAAUAAGAUCAAGUGUUCGGUGCCAAUCCGAAAAUUGGAAAAAAAUUGUGCUUCUGUCGUGCUUUAACAUGACACAGCCGGUCUCAAGACUUCACGCGGGUCAGCCUGCGGCUUCAAGCUCAUUAUCCCAAAGGCGGAGUAAUUCUCCGAGGUCAGUUUAGCAAAUUAAACUUGAGUGGCUUUUAGAGAGAAGACAGGCCAUCCGGCUAUUGACCAUACACUCGAGUCAAAAAAGGAGCAGUAGAAAAAGACUUUGCAACGACCAAUAAGAAAACACAUUUACUAUAAAACAACUCAUAUAAAUUUUAAGAGCCCCCAAGUGACUUGGGUAAAAUAAUUUUAUGUAUAAUGAUUGUAUGUACCAAAGUACUUAUAUCAUAUCUGUGUUCACCCGAACUUUAAACGCGUCUUAACCGACCAUCGGCUUCUCCCUCUUCGGCCAAGGGCCGAAAAGUGUCAUGUACUCCACCUGUCGAGAGUAUCGACAGUGUUUCCGAUGACCAGGCAAUCAUGCCAUAAGGCUGUAACAAACAAAGCGCGCUCAGGGAACUUAUGCUAUAUUACUAACGAAGUGUAAGAAGCAUCUUUGAAGAAAAUAGUACCUCCACCGAUACCUUUGUUCAGUUGCUCAUUGUUACUAUGCGACUUGUAUAAUAGAUUUUUUGUAUUCAUGAGUUCCGUUGUGUGCCGACCAUAAUUGAAAACAAUAAGCGCCCCUAAAUAAAUGGGGUAUUUAAAUUUGCUUGCAACAAACAAGGUUUUGACAAACAAAGUUUUUCGCAAAUGACUCUUUGUCAAAAAAGCAUAAUGCUUGGUCGAACCGAACGAAAUUUAAAACUAAAAGUUUUAAGCAUGGAAGCGACUUAGCUGGUUAAUGUGCUCGGUGUCGAUGCACGACUCGAGCUUAUGGCGGGACAAGGUCCCAACCCCCAAGCUGGUCCCGAGGUGGCGGAGCGAAGAGCUCGACACUCAGGAGUGGCGACAUAGCACGUCCAAUGCAGGCCGAUAGUGUGACGCUGAAGUCCCCGAUGUGGCUUAAUGAAGUAAUGACGAAGCCCUCGGUCCAGCCGAGGUGAUGUGGUACAUCGGUACGCCGAGGUGUCAGCGCUGCCCGACCCGAAUCCUUUACCCAUGCACAGAAAAUAGUGCAAGACGAAGAUAAUAGGAAUAAAAAAACUGUUGUAUAAUUAAUAAUUUAUGCAAAGUGAGUAAUAAAAGAAAUAUGGCUCGUGUGCCGAACACUCAAUGAGGUAGAGCUCUCUCAGUGAUGUUGAAGUCCCCGAGGCAACCGAACAUGUCGGUAUGGCGAUUCGACCAACAAGGUGAUCACGCGAGCCGAUUGGGACAACGACGUCGGCUUGUCAAAGUGACCGUGUGACACAGUCGAAGUCGAUCACCUGCACACAUAAAAUAGUGCGGUCCAAAAAGGAUAAUUUCUUUUUGCAAAAAUAAUUUAUGGAAAGAGAUGUGGCCUGGCGCCGAAGUCAAUGUCGAUGCAGGGAAUCGGCGUGACGCGGUGAAGGCGUGGCAAAGCCUGACUUCACAGGCCGGUCUGAGUUCCGGAUGCGGCAUUCGCCGAACUGUAUACGGAAACUGACCGAACCACCACGCGACUAUUGUUAAUGCGACCACCAUUUGAUAGACCUGUGUACAUAUGAUGAAACAAACCAGAGUAACAAUUCCUUGGAAAAAAUAAGCCCAAGCAAGAAAAUAUACUAGGAUUAAUAGCACCUGGUUUAUCUGUUGUAGCAAUUUGAAGAAAGGUUACUCUCAAAAUUGGGACUCGAUCCGCACACCCAUUGCCUGAUGGGCGAUAAAGCGACGGCAUGGCGAUGCUGGCAACGGUGGGCUUGCUGAGGCAAAGCCCCCGGUCCAGCUAAUCGUGACGAAGCUGGUCGGCUGGUGAUGUCGAAGUCACCGGAAUAUAUUGAUGAAGAAAUAGCAAAGUCCCCGGUCUAGCCGAGAUGACAGAGCGGGUAGUAAGGAGACGUUGGAGCUGUCAUGUCAGCCGAGGUGUUGAAGCAGUUCGGCGUGAUGGACAUCGACUUGAAAAAAGCAACAGUGCGGCCAUCCCGAUGCUGGUCAUAACUUGUGACGCGGUCAAUGCCGGAUUGAUGAAGUGACCGAGCGGCGAUGUCGGCGCGCCUGACCCAUGCAAUCCGUGGGGCGAUGGUGUUGGUGAUGAUUUAUCCUUCGCGAUGCUGAACUCUUGUUCGGCUUGCCGAGCUGAUAAUCCGAUAAGGUUAGGCUCGGCUCGAUGAAGCGACGAUCUGUCUAGCGCCGGUCGGGAGACGUGGAGCAAUGUUACCGGACUGGUUUGACACCAGCGCGAUGAUGAAGAGUGCCUCAAAGAAGGCUUAAAAUUUUAUGGGCACGUGUUAAAAACAACGCACAAUACCAUAGAAGAAAAUUUCUUUAAAAAGGUUGUCCUAUAUCACGUUCAUAAAGAAACAUGAAUUCUGGUCGGAUCCGUAUUUGCGCAGAAAACAGAUCCGAAAAGUGAUACACUAUUUGAAAGGUCCCGGAGUUUGGACGGUCGGAUUGAGCUGAAAUUUUGAGGGGUGGUAGAUAUAGAAAUUCCGCAGCCGAUCAACGGUUGGAUCUGUCAAAGGAUGUCCGAGCUAGGUGCUGGAGACCACGCCCUAAACUCAUCUAGAUUCCUGUCCAGAUUUGACAGGGCUCCGGUAUAUCGUAGAUUACCGGAGAUGCCUCUAUCGGAACUCGACGAAAUUUUGCAUGGUUAUUGUAGACUCAAUUCUGCACAAUUCCACCAAAAGAAUCGUCAAAGCGAUGCUCGAGGAGGUGGUGUCAGUGGAUACAAGUUCUCUGUUCGGAAAAACAGCACGGUCGCCCGAAGGCAAUGUUGACAUUGAGCCCCCGAGCUUCAUGGAUGAUUCCUCUAUGAUCUUGAUAGAGAUCGGAGUUGAUGUUGAUGAAGGCCCUCGUCUGAACAUGACGAUCGGAGAUGGAGCACGGUCCUCGGUCGAGCCAAGGUGACCGGUCGAGCUGGCGACGAAGAUGCCGGCGUCGCACUUGAUCUGCGGGCGAGUCAUUGAUCCUUUACUGAUCGCACAGCGGAACUCUCAACGAAAGCACCAUUGUCGGUUUCAAAACCGAUGGAUCUCGGGUAGGGGGUCCCAAGCUGUGUAUCAUGGAUCGAUGGGUAACAGGAAACAGGGGACACGAUGUUUACCCAUGUUCGGACCCUCUUGAUGGAGGUAAAAACCCCACGUCCCGCUCUUGUUUAUAUUGAUGGAGUAUCAAGUACAGAGUUGAUCUACCUCGAGAUCAUAUGUUGUGGUCCAAAACCUGAGGGUAUGAUGAAUAAUGUCAUAAUCAUCUAUUGACUAGCCUGGCCUCGGCUUAUAUAACAUACCAGAGGUCUGGGAUAACAAGAGUCCUAGUCGAAUACGUCGGUGGAGAGGAGUCCUUGUCUUGAUCACCAAGUCUUGUGGAAUCUUCCUCGUAUAUGUCUUUGGCUGUCCGAACUGGCCCAUGAGUAAACAGCCAUGGGGUCCUCGGCCCAAUCCAACGGAUCGGGAGACGAUGUGGUGAGUACCCCUAGUCCAGGACACCGUCAGCAUCCCCAAGCUUAGAUUUUUUGGUGUCCUUGGAUUUUAUCUUGGGGUGCCUUGGGCAUCCCCAAGCUUAGGCUCUUGCCACUCCUUGUUCCACAAUCCAUCAAAUCUUUACCCAAAACUUGAAAACUUCACAACACAAAAUUUAACAAGGAAAUCUCGUGAGCUCCGUUAGCGAAAGAAGGCAAAACACCACUUCAAGGUACUGUAAUGAACUCAUUCUUUAUUUAUAUUUGUGUUAAACCUACUGUAUUCCAACUUCUCUAUGGUUUAUAAACUUCAUUACUAGCCAUAGAUUCAUCAAAAUAAGCAAACAACACACGAAAAACAGAAUCUGUCAAAAACAGAACAGUCUGUAGUAAUCUGUAACUAACGCAAACUUCUGGAACCCAAAAAAUUCUAAAAUAAAUUGGUGGGCGUGAGGAAUUUAUCUAUUAAUCAUCUGAAAAAAGAAUUAACUAAAUUGCACUCUCCAAUAAAAAAUGGCAGCAAUUCUCGUAAGCACUAAAGUUUUUGUUUUUUUACAGCAAGAUCAAAAAGACUUUCCCCAAGUCUUCCCGACGGUUCUACUUGACACAAACACUAAUUAAACAAAAAAACAAAACCAAAACAGAGGCUAGAUAAAUUGUUUAUUACUAAACAGGAACAAAAAGCAAGGAAUAAAAAUAAAAUUGGGUUGCCUCCCAACAAGCGCUAUCGUUUAGCACCCUUAGCUAGGCAUAAAAGCGAAGAUAGAUCUAGGUAUCGCCAUCUUUGGUAGGCAAUUCUUCAAUAAGGCGCCUAUAACUCCUAGGAGUUUCUUUCUUUUUAUUAAUUAUCAAACUCCUAGGUAUGAAAUCGAGAAAAUCAUUUGUAACAAAAGGUUCCUUAAGGAUAGUGAGAAAGUUGGGGUGAACACUUAUGGAUUUGAGGUCCGCAUUUCCCUUACUAGAAAUUUCACCCUUAUUUUUAGGAACAUACAUCAAUUUGGCAAUCUUAGCAUUAGAAGGAGUAUUUUUCAUGGAAGAAAAGACAGACCCUAGGUUGGUAAUAAUAUCCUCAAUUUUAUCAAUUCUAGUGGAAUCUUGAUCUAUUUUUUCAUUAACCAUAGGUUCCUUUUCUUUAAAAAAUUUAAGAGCAACUCCUACUUUAGAUCCGUAUUGGGUAAUUUGGUUAUGGAUCUUUCUAUCCAAAUUUUCAAUCAACUCUACAGUGGCAACUUUAUUUUCAAUAAUUUCAAGCCGUUGCAUCACAUGUUCCAAAGUUAAAAUAGUUCCAUUAACCAAAAGAGGUGGUGGGCCAAACAAAUCUAUCAUAGCAUUAUAAGAAUCAAAAGUAUGGCUACCCAAGAAAUUUCCUCCGGUAAUGGUAUCAAGAAUAUAUCUAUUCCAAGGAGUGAUGCCUACAUAAAAAUUGCGAAGAAGAACGGAAGUAGAUUGCUUCCUAAUAGAUCUAUUUUGCGCAUUGCAAACUCUGAACCAAGCAUCUUAUAGAUUUUUUUCCCUCCUGUCGGUGUCAAAACCGGCGGAUCUCGGGUAGGGGGUCCCGAACUGUGCGUCUAAGGCAGAUGGUAACAAGAGGCAGGGGACACAAUGUUUUACCCAGGUUCGGGCCCUCUUGAUGGAGGUAAAACCCUACGUCCUGCUUGAUUAAUAUUGAUGAUAUGGGUAGUACAAGAGUAGAUCUACCACGAGAUCAUAGAGGUUAAACCCUAGAAGCUAGCCUAUGGUAUGAUUGUAUGUUGUCCUAUGGACUAAAACCCUCCGGUUUAUAUAGACACCAGAGAGGUUAGGGUUACACAAGGUCGGUUACAAAGGAGGAGAUACACAUAUCCGUAUUGCCUAGCUUGCCUUCCAUGCCAACUAGAGUCCCAUCCGGACACGAGACGAAGUCUUCAAUCCUGUAUCUUCAUAGUCUAACAGUCCGGCCAAUGGAAAUAGUCCGGCUGUCCGGAGACCCCCUAAUCUAGGACUCCCACAGUAGCCCCUGAACCAGGCUUUCAAUGACGAUGAGUCCGGCGCGCAGUAUUGUCUUCGGCAUUGCAAGGCGGGUUCCUCCUCCGAAUAUACCACGGAAGAAUUUGAAUAUAAGGAUAGUGUCCCACCCUGCAAAAUAAGUUCCACAUACCACCGUAGAGAGAAUAAUAUUUCCACAAAUCCAAUUUGCUGACUUGUUUUGGCAACACGACAUUAUGUCACGGCCCGGUGAUUAUUCGAACCGUUUCCUUUAACUAGCCCCGCACAUAACGCGAGGUAGUUUUUUGACACGUCUUGUCAAAGCAGAGAUCGUGUCCCCUUAUCACGGGAUUCUCAUCAAUACGGGCGUGGGUAACCCAACCGCGCCAUCGAUUACGGCGCUUGGGGGAUAAGCGAGUUUUACCAGGCUAGUGGGGACGCUUAGUUUCGUCCGCCCAUAUAAAGGGAUAAGGAUUCACCUUUUCAUCCACACCUUCUUCCUCCUUUGCUCAUCCAUUUUCGCGCACUCGAGCUCCAACACCCAAGUCCACACCCCUUCCCUCAACCUUCUCCAAACAUGUCCGGAGCGGGAGGCAAAUGGAUGGCUUCCUCCGUUACGGAGGGACAUAUCAAGAAGCUGCGCGGAGCUGGAUACUUAGCCGCGAAUAUCGCGCAUCGGCUGCCCGCUGCGGGGCAGAUCGUCCAUACCCGGGAACCUCACGAGAGGGUCGUUUUCCUCCACCAGUUCCUCCGCGGACUGGGGUUUCCCCUCCAUCCAUUCGUCUGUGGUCUCAUGUUCUACUACGGGCUGGACUUUCAUGAUCUGGCCCCGAACUUCGUCCUCAACAUUUCGGCGUUCAUCGUCGUGUGUGAGGCUUUCCUCCGCAUCCGGCCCCACUUCAGCCUAUGGUUAAAGACCUUCAAUAUCAAGCUGAAGGUGGCGGGAGGCCAACAAGCAGAAUGCGGCGGAGCCAUGGUGGGCAAGAUGCCCAACGUUAUCUGGCUUGAAGGCUCCUUUGUGGACACCAUAAAGGGGUGGCAAUCGACGUGGUUCUACAUCACCGAGCCGCGCGACGCCAAAUGGGCGGUGACCCCUGAGUUUCGAUCCGGAUUCCCUACACGACUCACUUCCUGGAAAAAGAAGGGCUUGUCGUGGGGUUCAUCGAUGGAGCUGGAUGGACUCUAGAAAUGUAUCCGGAGUAUGGCAAGCAAGAAGCCCAAGCUUGUCAACAUAGUCCAGGUUAUGCUCAUCCGCCGGAUCCUCCCGUGUCAACAACGAGAUUUUAACUUAUGGGAGUUCGACCCGGCCCAGCACCAGACUCUGAGCGAGCUCUUCGAUACGACACACAAGGACGUCUGGAAGGUGCUGUUCAAGGGCGCCGAGGUCCCUCCUUCUCUCGCCAAGGACCGCAGGCUAAGCGCAAAGCGCCUAGCGCGUUCGGUGAGUUCAAUAUGUCCCGUAGGAUAUUUAUUUCCCCUAGAUUAAUCAUGUGCGGGGUCUAAUCUCCAUGCCUUUGACAGGACUGGGUGGAGACGUCGGGGCAGAUUAACUGUCCGGCCCCUUUGCCCGAAGACACUGCGGGCGCUCUCCUAAUGGAGAUGCUGACUCCGGCUCCUUACAAGGUGCCGGAGAAGACCAAGAAGGCCAAGGGAACCCGAAAGAGUUCCCGAUGCCAGGAGUCGUCGGACUCACCGUCCGAUGACUCUGUGGCGCACUCCUCCCCCGAAGACGAGGAAGAAGAAGAAGAUGCCCCCUUCAGUUGGGGGAGAUAAGAAAAGGAAGGCCGCCCCAACUGGGGGGACCGAAGGGUCCAAGAAGGGAAGGACUCUCCUUCCGGACAGUUCCACCGCCACCGACGAAGGCGAAGACGAGUGGUUGCCCAGGGCCAAGCCCCUGGGGAGAUUGUAAGUAUUCGGAUACCAGAGUAACUCAUAGCAUUCCUUUGUCGCACUGCUUUCCCUAACGCUGAACAUGAUUAUGCAGGCUGCCAUGAGCCAGUAUCGAUGUAUCAUCGGACGGCUCCCUGGGCUCCUCGGAUAUGGAUAGCGAUCCAGUCCCGACCGCCACCUCCCCUUAUCUUGCGGACGAUGCCGAGGUGCUGUCUCACGAGGCACUGGGUUGAGGGGAGACAGUCCCGGAGGCGCCUCAAGGCGGUCUUCCGGACUCUGGGAGCCGAGGGGACAAGGCCCCUGAGAGCUCCAAGUUCGGCCCUCAGCCGAACUCCGCGCCGGAACUUCCAGUGGUUCCGAACUCGGGCAGGCGGCCUCCUUCUAAGAGGGGCGAGAUGCUUGUACCGGUGACCUCUGUCCAUCCAGAGGCGCCGGACAAUCUGCUGGAAGCACUUGGCAGCGCUUCCAUCGACGAGGAGCACCGCACUAUCAUGAGUGCGGUGAUCCAGAAGGUUCAGUCCGCCAAGAGCGGAUUGACUGAAGCCUGUGCUAGCCUUCUAACAGGCUUUGAGGUAAGUGUUUUAAAAUAUAGGAAAAAUAUUACCGCAUAGACAGUAGCCCCUGAUGCUCUGUUCGGUGUUCACAAAGAAAAGCCGAACAGAGGAUCAAAUAAUAUCGCAGGAGUCUAAUAUAAGUAUGUCAAUAUGCAUAUGCAGGCUUCGCUGCUGGCGUCCGCCGCACUGACUGUGGAGGUCGCCGUACUGAAGCAGGACCUUAAAGGGUCCCAGGACGAGCUCGGCCUUGCCAAGAGGCAGCUCGAGGAGAACAAAGGUAAGUAGUACCUAGUCUGUGGAUAUGUAUAAAAAGUGUGCGAUUGCAAAAUGACAGGAUCAUCGUGAAUUUGUUAGGGGCCAUGACCGAAGUGGCGACCCUAAAGCAAGCGCUGUCCAAGGCCGAAGAUAAAGCGGCCAAGGAGCGCAUCGAGCGAGAAAAGCAAGAGGCUCGGGUGGGCGAGGUGCAGCAAGAGGUCCAGGCUCUUGUGACGAAGCAUGAGGCGUUGGAGCAUGACUCGAAGACGUAAGAGUCUGAGCUUGCCGCGGCCCUCGAGAGCGCAAAAAGUGCCAAGGCCGAAGCCCAAAAGGCCCUCCAGGAGAUCGACGCAAUGAAGAAGAUAGCGGCGGGUAAGGCAUUCUAUAUGCAUAGCAAGCAUGUAAGAGUAAAUUACCGAUUACUUACCCGAAUUCAGAGCUCUCCAGGAGCAUUCACAGAUUUGCCCCGCAGCGUGUCGGAUGCCGCACAGUUUUACCAUGCCGAGGAGGGAAGCUCAAUGGAGAAGUUGUUCUGGUCUCAGUAUACUAGGACUGAACACCCAAUGCCUCUGAGCGACCAGCUAAAGCAGCUGGUCGAGAUGCACAAUGCGGCCGAACAGGCCGUGAAGGGCCUUAUAGUCCGGCUGUGGCCUAGCGACACCCUUCCGAACAGCUACUUUGGCCUAGUGAGGCGGCUUGUGGAUGCCUGCCCAUGGCUGGAGGUCGUCAAGCGGUCCGUUUGCAUCGAAGGUGCACGUCGGGCUUUCGCCCGUGUGAAGGUGAAGUGGGCCAAGCUAGACACUGUGAAGCUGAUCAAGGAAGGGCCACCGCAGGGCAAGGAGCAUCGCACCCCCGAAAUUUAUUAUGAGGGUGUCCUGAAGGGUGCCCGUCUUAUAGCGGACGAAUGUUCAAAGGAUGUAAUAUUUGAGUAAACUUGCUCGUGUGAUCCUGUAUGAUGAAAACUUGUUUCAUAUGCGCUAUGCAACACUUGUGUGAAUUUAAAAUAUUACUUUCCGUUUGGCUGUUUAUCCAAUCGUGCACAACAACUACCGGCCGCCACAUACUCCGCUUCGGUGGACGAGAGAGACACACAACUUUGCUUUUUUGGAAGACCAACUUACCAAAGAGCAACCAAGGAAUUUUCACCCUCCGGAAGUGGACUUCCUAUCCACUUUGUCUCCCGCCCAAUUGGAAUCCGAAUACCCUACAAGCUUGAAGUUUGCUCCUCUUGGGUACCAUAAGCCAAAGUUUGAGGUAUGAGCCAAAUAUCGAAAGAUUCGUUUGACCACCACAUAGUGACUUUCCUUAGGUGCGGAUUGAAAUCAUGCACAAAUUCCCACACUCAACAUGAUAUCCGGUCUAGAUGCACAAAGGUAAAGCAAGGAGCCUAUCAUGGAGCGAUAUACCUUUUGAUCCACCGCUUUACCAUUGGGAUCUAUGUCAAGUUGGCACUUGGUGGGCAUUGGAGUGGAAGCCGGCUUGACAUCACUUAGCUUGAAUCUCUUGAGCUUGUCUUGAGUAUAUUUGGCUUGGUUGAUGAAGGUUCCUUCUCUUCUUUGCUUCACUUCGAACCCUAGAAAGAACUUCAACUCUCCCAUGGAAGACAUCUCGAACUUUGAGGUCAUGAGAGCAGAAAAUUCCUCAUUGAAAGCUUUGUUAGGGGAACCAAAGAUAAUAUCAUCAACAUAUAAUUGGCACACAAAUAACUCCCCUUUGACCUUCUUAGUAAAAAGAGUGGGGUCGAUUAGCCCAACUUCAAAACCAUGGUCUUGUAACAACUCAGUAAGGUGGUCAUACCAUGCACAUGGGGCUUGUUUAAGGCCAUAGAGUGCCUUAUCGAGUUGAUACACAUGAUCGGGAAAUUAGGGAUCCUCGAACCCGGGGGGUUGCUUGACAUAAACCAAUUCAUUAAUGGGACCAUUAAGAAAAGCACUCUUCACAUCCAUUUGUUGUAACUUAAAGUUAUGAUGAGAAGCAUAAGCAAUCAACAUGCGAAUAGAUUCAAGACGAGCAACGAGAGCAAAGGUUUCACCGUAGUCGAUACCCUCGACUUGGGAGUAGCCUUGUGCUACCAAACGAGCCUUGUUGCGAAUGAUAAUUCCAUGGGCAUCUUGCUUGUUCUUAAAUAUCCACUUGGUUCCAAUGACAUUGUGGUUCCCCAUGGGUCUUGGCACCAAUCUCCACACUUUGUUGCGCUCGAAGUUGUUGAGUUCUUCAUGCAUGGCAUUGAGCCAAUCCGGAUCUUCUAGCGCCUCAUAGACCUUGUGGGGGUUCGACACAAGAGACAAACGCGUGAUGCUCACAAUAGUUUGCUAAUUGUCUACGAGUGCUUACCCCCUUUCUUAAGCUUCCAAGCACAUUCGUCAUGAGAUGAUCCUUGGUGGAGAGCUUGGAAGCAACCUUGGCGGCACGACGCUCCAAUUCCUUCUCGGGGGUGAGACAAGGAGUGGUCACUUGAUCAUCUCGAGCGUCGUCUUGAGAUUGUUCUUGUUCUUGAACUUGCUCGGAGGAGAGAACUUGACCUUGGGCAUCACUUGAUAUGUCAACACCGUCUUGAGCAUGAUCUUGCCCUUGGUCAUGUUCUUGAAGAUGAGGGCCUUUAUGUUGUUCUUCGGAAGCGUGUGGGCCUUGGGUUGUUGAUGGAUCCACUUGAGUGGAGCUUUGUCCUUCUCCUUAGGCCACAAGGGGUUCCUCAAUGGGUAGGAUAAAGCCAACACCCAUUCUUCUUAUGGCUUGAGGAGGAAUUUCAUCACCUACAUCACAAGUGCCACUUUGCUCCACUUGGGAGCCGUUAUUCUCAUCAAACUCCACGUUACAUGUCUCCUCAAUAAGUCUCGUGGAUUUAUUAAGGGCACGGUAAGCAUGAGAGUUUGUAGCAUAACCAACAAAUAUGCCCUCAUAAGCUCCAGCCUCAAAUUUAGACAACCGAACACCUUUCUUGAGAAUGAAACACUUACACCCGAACACCCGAAAGUACUUGAGGUUGGGCUUUUUAGCGGUGAGUAUCUCAUAUGGAGUCUUGUUCAAGCCCUUGCGGAGGUAGAGCCGAUUGGAUGCAUGACACGCGGUGUUGAUGGCUUCGGCCCAAAAGUUGUAUGGAGACUUGAACUCCGCCAUCAUGGUCCUUACCGCAUCCAUCAAUGUCCGGUUCUUCCUCUCCGCAACACCGUUUUGUUGAGGGGUGUAAGGUGCGGAAUAUUAAUGCUUGAUCCCCUCAUCACUAAGAAACUCAUCCAAGGUGUAGUUCUUGAACUCGGUGCCGUUGUCACUUCUUAUUGUCAAGAUCUUUGCAUUGUGUUGACGUUGUGCUUCAUUUGCAAAGUCAAUGACGGUUUGUUGGGUCUCGCUCUUCCUCUUGAAGAAAUACACCCAAGUGUAUCUUGAGUAGUCAUCCACAAUCACCAAGCAAUACUUCCUACCCCCAAGACUAUCGAAGGAUGGAGGCCCAAAGAGAUCCAUGUGAAUGAGCUCCAAAGGCCCCUUUGAGUAAAUGAUAGUCGUGGGAGGGUGAGCCUUCUCAUGUAGCUUUCCUUUGAUACAAGCACUGCAAGCACGAUAUUUAGCAAAACUAACAUUCGUUAGUCCAUGGACAUGGUCCCCCUUGAGGAGACUUUGCAAAGAUCUCAUAUUGACAUGAGCUAGACGGCGAUGCCAAAGCCAUCCCACAUCAACUUUAGCCAUUAGGCACGUCGCGGUCUUAGUGGGUCGCUCCGAAAAGUUAAUCACAUAUAGACCGUUCUCGACAUGCCCAACAAAGGCUACUUUAAGAGUCUUGCUCCACAAGAGGGCCACGGUAUCGAUAUCAAAGAAAGUGGCAAAGCCCAUGAUUGCAAGUUGACGAACGGAAAGUAAAUUGUAUGCAAGGGACUCAACAAGCAUGACCUUCUCGAUCGUGAGAUCAUGAGAGAUGACCACCUUGCCAAGUUCCAAUACCUUAGAGGAUGAGGCGUCACCCCACUCGACAUUGGUGGGCAUAGAUGGAAUCUUGUGCACGUCCACCACCAAGUCCUUGCUUCCGGUCAUAUUAUUUGUAGCUCCGCUAUCGAGCAACCAUGAUCCCCCACCGGAAGCAAACACCUACAAGAGAUUAAUGCUUGGUUUUAGGUACCCAUUUUGUAAUGGGUCCUUUGAUGUUAGUAACAAGGGUCUUUGGAACCCAAAUAGACCAUUCAAUGUAUUCAUGAGGAGAACCAACGAAUUUGGCAUAGACAUGCCCAUCACUAGCAUGGCAUAACACAUAAGAAGGAUUGAAGUCGCCGGCUUUGAUGCGAGGAGUGACAUUUCCCUUUUUGACAAUGCCACCCUUCGCAUUGUUCUUCUUCUUCUCCUCGGAGGCACUCUCUCCCUCCUUCACAAAGGUUUGCAUGAGAGGAGGAGUUCGUUUGAUCUUGUCAUUCUUCUUCUUGUUCUUGGAGUCGGGCACGUACCAAACCCCUUCCUUGGCCACAACUCCCUUUUGGUUGAUCAAGAGGUCAUUGAGGUUCUUCUUGCCUUGUAUGCAAGUCGCAAGACCUCUCUCAAGUUGCCCCUUUAGCUUAGCGUUCUCCUCAACGAGAUGCACAUGCUCACAACACGGGUUAGUAGCAUUUGCAUUAUCAAUUAACAUCAUACGAGGAAAAGUGGUUUUUUCCUUGGUUAGAUUUACUUGAAGUUGAUCAUGAGACUCUUUGAGGCUAGCAUGAGCACCCUUCAAGACCUUGUGAGCCUUGUCAAGUAGAUCAAACUCCUCUUUGAGUCUAGCAAGAUCAACCUCAAGUUCAGCCUUCUCGGAGUUUAGCACAUGAGAAACAAUGAGAACAUGAUCAUAAUAUUUCUUUAACUUAGCAUGAUCAAUGUUGUGUGACUCCUCAAGAGCCAAACGAAGACCAUGCGCUUCCUCAAGAGCAUUGGAAAGAUCCGAAAUCUCAUCGGCAUAGUCACGACCAUGCCCUUCCAUCUUAGUGAUGGUGUCUUCGUGAGCCUCGAUCAUGUCAUUGGCUUCACCACGUUGUUCCAAGAGAGCAACAAAGUGCUUCUUGGAUUUUCCCUUAAGUUUGCCCAUAAAGGCCUCAAACUCAUUUGCCUCCACAUUAGCUCCCUCAAGUUCAUUAAUGCUAUCCGUCGGAGAAGGAUGAUUAAUGAUGGUAGUUUUGAUGUUGGGGGUUACCUUGUUGGUGGCUUUAGCCAUGAGGCACUUGGCGGUGAUGCUCUCAUUGGGUGAGUCGAAGAGAGACACCCGUGGAGUCGUCGCAAUGGCAAAGGAGGCCAUGGCAACUGACUCAUCACCUUCAUCAUCGUCAUCAUCCUCAUUGUACUCUUCUUGUACCACCAAUGCCUUGGGAGGAGUCUUCUUGGUGAAGUUGCUCUUGUUGGGGAACGACCUGGCCUUGUCCUUUCGGAUGAGCUUGCCACCAUUGUCUUCCCCCUUCUCAUACGGGCACUCCGCAACAAAAUGACUCACGUUGCCACAAUUGUAGCAAGUCCUUACACGUUGCUUGCUCUUCAUGCCACUUGAGUUGUUUUUGCUAAAGUUUGGCCUCGAGUUUUUCUUGCUCCAAAAUUGCCUUGAAGCGAGUGCCAUGUGUUCAUGAUACGCAUACUUUGUAUCUUCGGGGUUGCUCUCCUCUUCUUCCUCCUCCUCUUCUUCAACGGUGAGCUUGGCCUUCAAUGCAAGGUUGGGCUUCUUUGCCCUUUGAGAAUGAAGCACCGCAUUGUCGGCGGUCUUGUCCAAAAUGUUCAUGGCCACAAACUCAUCCAACACUUCGCUUGAGGUCAAAGUGUGGAAGUCCGGUCUUUGACAAAUGACGGAGGACAUGGCCUUGUGGUAGGGCAUCAUUGCCUUGAGGAAUUUGCGCUUGACCCAAUUGUCAUCCGUGUCCUUGCUCCCAUGAUCUCGUAGUGAGACCGCGAGUUUGGUUACUCUUUGAUAAAGCUCACGAGGUUCUUCAUCUUCUUUCAUUGCAAACUCAUUGGCCUCAUCUUGCACCACUUCAUAGUUGGAGCAUUGAAUGCUUGCACUUCCCCGGUAGAGAGAGACAAUACAAUGCCAUGCGUCUUUGGCCAAGGCGAAGGGCCGAAGAUGAGGUAGGUCUUCGGGUGGGAUUGCAUCUUGAAUGAUGAAGAGAGCAUUCUCAUUGAAUUGAUUAUCCGCGGCUUCUCAAGGAGUGAAGUUGCUUGGAUCAUGCGGAUAGAAACCUUCUUCAAUGAUUCUCCAAAGGUUAGUGUUCACAUGAUUUAAAUGACGUUUAAAGCGGUAAACCCAAGAAUCAAAGUCCUCAUUUUUUACAAUCUUAGGGGGAGGACCGGCAUGAUUUAAAUGAGUGGAAGGAACCGGUCCACCAUAAACAACUGGUGGUUCCACAUGAGCAAAGAUGCCGGUGCCAUUUUUACCACUAGAAGGAGCCUUUUCACUACUAGCUUCCCCCUUAUCGGAGAUAGCAUCCAUCACCUUGUCAGUGGGAUCACCCACUUUCAACGGUGCGGUGGAUAGUUUAAGUCCCUCAAGGAAUUUAGUAAACAUGCUUUCAACCUCGGUCGUCAUGGAGGUUUUCAAUGUCCCCAAGGCCACAUUAAACUCCUCACGGGAGACCGAGGUUCCCCCAUCGCCCGUAGACGAGGUCGGAUUCACACCGGAGUGUUCCUCCACACCGUCUAUGGUAUCAACCAUACUCUUCGGACGGUAAAGUCCUUAAUAAAGAGACGAGGCUCUGAUACCAAUUGAAAGGAUCGAUAUGGUUGACUAGAGGGGGGUGAAUAGGCAACUAACAAUUUUAGCUUUUCUUUAACAAUUUAAACUUUGCAUCAAAGUAGGUUGUCUAAGUAUGCAACUAGGUGAGAAACCUAUAUGAUGCAACAAGGAUAGGAACACAAGCAAGCAAGUGAUAUGAUACAAAUAAGCUUGCACAAGUAAAGGCACGAGAUAACCAAGAGUGGAGACGGUGGAGACGAGGAUGUGUUGCCGAAGUUCCUUCCCUUUGAUAGGAAGUACGUCUCCAUUGGAGCAGUGUGGAGGCACAAUGCUCCCCAAGAAGCCACUAGGGCCACCGUAUUCUCCUCAUGCCCUCACACAAUGUGAGAUGCCGUGAUUCCACUAUUGGUGCCCUUGGAGGCGGCGACCGAACCUUUACAAACAAGGUUGGGGCAAACUUCACAACUCAAUUGGAGGCUCCCAACGACACCAUGAAGCUUCACCACAAUGGACUAUGGCUUCGCGGUGACCUCAACCGUCUAGGAUGCUCAAACACCCAAGAGUAACAAGAUCCGCAAGGGAUUAGUGGGGGGAAUCAAAUUUCUCUUGGUGGAAGUGUGGAUUGAGGCUUUCUCAACCACUCCCGAACAAAUCAACAAGUUUGAUUGGCUAGGGAGUGAGAUCGGGCGAAAAUGGAGCUUAGAGCAAUAAUGGAGCUUAGGGUUGGAAGAGAUGAGUCAACGGGGAAGAAGGGGACCCCUUAUAUAGUGUAGGACAAAGAUCCAACUGUUACCCACCUACCAGCCCGCAGCCAGCGGUACUACCGCACCAGGCCAGCGGUACUAUCGCAUGGUCAUGCGGUACUACCGUACAGGCUUGCGGUACUACCGCAACCCCAGCAACAGCAAGGUCAUAUCUGACGCGCAGGAGCUAAGGGCGGUACUUCCGCGAGCGCGGUACUACCGCAAGGCAGAAAUCCCCUAGCCACGGGGGAGGAAACAUCCAUGCCUACUUCUGCAAAGAGACGGAAGAAGCAAAAACCCGACACAGUAGUACUGCCGAGGGGCGGUACUACUGCCUGACAACAUAGCGCGGUACUACCGCGGAGCGAAGGCGGUACUACCGCAGUAGGUGCGGAUGUAAAUAAUUACAUCCGCCCCUACUACCGCGAAGGAGCGGUACUAGCCUGGUGGGCAGCGGUAGUGCAGCUCCAGGGGAGCGGUACUACCGUGGGCACCUGCGGUACUACCGCCCCACCGCACGGUACUACCGCUGGUGCCUACGGUACUACCGCUCUCCUGGGAGCAGUACUACCGCGACCCAACUCAGCAGCCAGAACCAGGGAGGCGAGAAAGAGGAGGAAGCUCCAAGGGAAAAGGAGGGGAUAAGAAGGAGACGUGUACGUGAUGAUUCCACCCAAACCUUUCCGGCGUGGACCCGCUCUUAAUAGUACGGCUUUCCUACAACUCAAAUCCACCAAAAAGAAACGUAGAAAAGACGCCGUCUUCAACAGUCUUUGAGGGGCACCCAACCGUCUUGUGCCUAGCAAUGAAAUGUUUGGGAUACUCAAGGCACACGAUUAGUCCGCAAACGCGUUGUCAUCAAUCACCAAAACACCUUAGGGAUAAAUAUGCCCUUACAACAGUGUCCAAGGAGACUAAUGAAUAUUGCUAGACCUAUGGGAAGCAUCCAUAAUGCAAGCAGACAAUUGUAUGCAGAGCAAUAGUUUUAAGAGGAUUCUUGAAAGAUUAGAUAGUGUUUCAAAGUAUCAUAUGAAACAUAUGAACAACUUGGGAUGGAUGAUACUCGAUAAGUGCGAGUAAUUAUUUGCAGGGGUACUCAUGCGGUAAAGAACUGCAAGGCAGUAGGCACAAGGUAUUCUCGUACCAAUAGGGAGAAUUUUGGGUAUCUUGUAAUAACAAGAUCAACCGAGAAUAGAAGUAAGAACGACAAGUGUAUGUAUUUAUCCAUAGGGACAUUUUGAUGGUAGGGAAUUGAAAAAGCAACGGGCACAAAGUCUCAGGAGAACAUCAUAGAGUAUCCUUUGAAUUUUCUAGUGCAUCAAUCGAUCAUCGGUAAUAAGAUGCCCUCUGGGUGAAAGUGAUCAUGAGAUCCUAAUGUUAGAUUUAGCAAAAUUCAUUUAACCCAAAUAGAAGAGAGUUCAGAGUCAUGGAGUAAAGAUCGAGGAGUAAAAGAUCGUAAUACCACCCAAAUGGCAAUGUGAGCCCGUAAGACACACAGCCAUGUUAGUAAAAGUUUUGUAGUGACUAGACUCAACUUCAGCCAAGGAGUUUGGAAGGGGGAUUCCUACAGGCAGUCGGCUCUAAUACCAACUUGUGACACCCUCGAUUUGACCGUACGCUAAUCAUACACACAAAUGUGUACGAUCAAGAUCAAGGACUCAUAGGAAGAUAUCACAACACAACUCUAGACACAAAUUAAAAUAAUACAAGCUUUAUAUUACAAGCCAGGGGGCCUCGAGGGCUCGAAUACAUAAGCUCGAAAACACAAGAGUUAGCGGAAGCAAUAAUAUCUGACUACAGACAUAAGUUUAAACAAGAUUGCCUUAAGAAGGCUAGCACAAAAGUAGCAACGAUCGAAAAGGAAAGGCCUCCUGCCUGGGACCUCCUAACUACUCCUCAAAGUCAAACACCAUGUAGAAUCAUCCUCAGGAUCCUUUGGCUCCUGGACUCCAGCAUCUGGUUGCGAUAACCAGGUAGAAAGGUGGAAAAGGGGGAGCAAAGCAACUGUGAGUACUCAUCCAAAGUACUCGCAAGCAAGGAUCUACACUACAUAUGCAUUGGUAUCAAUGAAAUGGGUAGUAUAUAUGGACUGAACUGCAAAAUGCCAGAAUAAGAGGGAGAUAGCUAGUCCUAUCGAAGACUACGCUUCUGACAGCCUCCAUCUUGAAGCAGUAGAAGAGAGUAGAUGGUAAGUUAACCAAGUAUCAUCGCAUAGCAUAAAUCCUACCCGGCGAUCCUCUCCUUGUCGCCCUAUGAGAGAGCAAUCACCGGGUUGCAUCUGGCACUUGGAAGGGUGCGUUUUAUUAAGUAUCCGGUUCUAGAUGUCAUAAGGUCAAGGUACAACUCCGGGUCGUCCUUUUACCGAGGGACACGGCUAUUCGAAUAGAUAAACUUCCCUGCAGGGGUGCACCACAUUUCCCAACACGCUCGAUCCCCUUUGGCCGGACCCACUUUCCUGAGUCAUGCCCGGCCUCGGAAGAUCAACACGUCGCAGCCCCACCUAGGCACAACAGAGAGGUCAGCACGCCGGUCUAAAUCCUAUGCACGUAGGGGUCUGGGCCCAUCGCCCAUUGCACACCUGCAUGUUGCGAACACGUCCGGUAGGCAGACCUAGCCUCCGUAAUACAAGAGCGGGCUUUCCCGUCCAAUCCGGCGCGCGCCGCUCAAUCGCUGAUGUCAAGAAGGCUUCGGCCGAUACCACGACGUCAAGUGCCCAUAACUGUUCCCACGUAGUUGGUUAGUGCGUAUAGGCUAGUGGCCAGACUUAGAUCAAAUACCAAGAUCUCGUUAAGCAUGUUAAUUGAUGUAACCGCGAACGCCGACCAGGGCCAGGCCCACCUCUCUCCUAGGCGGUCUCAACCUGCCCUGUCGCUCUGCCACAAAGUAACCAUCAUGGGGCUGUCGAGAACCCAGGCCCAUCACUAACUGGAUGGAACCACCUGCCCCUUCAACCCCCAUCUCCAAACAGUAACAUAAGUAUGUAAGAAUAUAUAGUAUAUCUACCCGUGAUCAGCUCCCGAAGUGAUCACGACCCAGUAGUAUAGCAUGGUAGACGGACAAGAAUGUAGGAACUCUGAUGGAAUACUAGCAUCCUAUACUAGCAUUUAGGAUUGCAGGUAAAGGUAACGACAGUAGUAGCAAAGACAGGCUAUGCAUCAGGAUAGGAUUAACGGAAAGCAGUAACAUGCUACUAAAGAAAAUAUGCCCUAGAGGCAAUAAUAAAGUUAUUAUUUAUUUCCUUAUUUCAUGAUAAAUGUUUAUUAUUCAUGCUAGAAUUGUAUUAACCGGAAACAUAAUACAUGUGUGAAUACAUAGACAAACAGAGUGUCACUAGUAUGCCUCUACUUGACUAGCUCGUUGAUCAAAUAUGGUUAUGUUUCCUAACCAUAGACAUGAGUUGUCAUUUGAUUAAUGGGGUCACAUCAUUAGGAGAAUGAUGUGAUUGACUUGACCCAUUCUGUUAGCUUAGCACUUGAUCGUUUAGUUUGUUGCUAUUGCUUUCUUCAUGACUUAUACAUGUUCCUAUGACUAUGAGAUUAUGCAACUCCCGUUUACCAGAGGAACACUUUGUGUGCCAUCAAACGUCACAACAUAACUGGUUGAUUAUAAAGGUGCUCUACAGGUGUCUCCAAAGGUACUUGUUGGGUUGGCGUAUUUCGAGAUUAGGAUUUGUCACUCCGAUUGUCGGAGAGGUAUCUCUAGGCCCACUCGGUAAUGCACAUCACUAUAAGCCUUGCAAGCAUUGCAACUAAUGAUUUAGUUGCGGGAUGAUGUAUUACGGAACAAGUAAAGAGACUUUCCGGUAACGGGAUUGAACUAGGUAUUGAGAUACCGACGAUCGAAUCUCGGGCAAGUAACAUACCGAUGACAAAGGGAACAAUGUAUGUUGUUAUGCGGUCUGACCGAUAAAGAUCUUCAUGGAAUAUGUAGGAGCCAAUAUGGGCAUCCAGGUCCCGCUAUUGGUUAUUGACCAGAGAGGUGUCUCGGUCAUGUCUACAUAGUUCUCGAACCCGUAGGGUCCGCACACUUAACGUUCGUUGACAAUAUAGUACUAUAUGAUUUAUGUAUGUUGAUGACCGAAUGUUGUUCGGAGUCCGGGAUGAGAUCACGGACAUGACGAGGAACUCCGGAAUGGUCCGGAGACAAAGUUUGAUAUAUGGGAUAGUAGUGUUUGAUCUCCGAAAGGGUUCCGGAAUUCACCGGAAGGGGUUCCGGAUAUUUUCCGAAAUGUUUGGGCACGAGAACACUUUAUCUGGGCCAAAGGGGAAAGCCCACGAGGAUUUUGGAAAGUGCAAAAGGAAGUUUUGCGGAGACCAGAGGCUAGACGCCAGGAACCCUGGCGUCUAGGGGGUAGACGCCGGGAACCCUGGCGUCUAGCCCUGGAGUCCGAGAAGGACUCUUGCCUUUCGGGUGAAACCGACUUUGAGGAGGCUUUUACUCCAAGUUUCGACCCCAGGGCUCAACAUAUAAAUAGAGGGGUAGGGCUAGCACCAAAGAUACAUCAAGAAACACCAAGCCGUGUGCCAGCAACCCCGUCCCCUCUAGUUUAUCCUUUGUCAUAGUUUUUGUAGUGCUUAGGCGAAGCCCUGCGGAGAUUGUUCUCCACCAACACCGUCACCACGCCGUCGUGCUGCCGGAACUCAUCUACUACUUCGCCCCUCUUGCUGGAUCGAGAAGGCGAGGACGUCACCGGGCCAAACGUGUGCAGAACUCGGAGGUGUCGUGCUUUCGGUACUUGGAUCGGUCAGACGUGAAGACGUACGACUACAUCAACCGUGUUGAUAUAACGCUUCCACGAACGUAGUCUACGAGGGUACGUAGACAACACUCUCCCCUCUCGUUGCUAUGCAUCACCAUGAUCUUGUGUGUGCGUAAGAAUUUUUUUUGAAAUUACUACGUUCCCCAACAGUGGCAUCCGAGCCUAGGUUUUAUGUGUUGAUGUUGUGCACGAGUAGAACACAAGUAAGUUGUGGGCGAUAUAAGUCAUACUGCUUACCAGCAUGUCAUACUUUGGUUCAGCGGUAUUGUUGGAUGAAGCGGCCCGGACCGACAUUACGCGUACGCUUACGCGAGACUGGUUCUACCGACGUGCUUUGCACACAGGUGGGUGGCAGGUGUCAGUUUCUCCAACUUUAGUUGAACCAAGUGUGGCUACGCCCAGUCCUUGCGAAGGUUAAAACAGCACCAACUUGACAAACUAUCGUUGUGGUUUUGAUGCGUAGGUAAGAACGGUUCUUGCUUAAGCCCGUAGCAGCCAUGUAAAACUUGCAACAACAAAGUAGAGGACGUCUAACUUGUUUUUGCAGGGCAUGUUGUGAUGUGAUAUGGUCAAGACAUGAUGCUAAAUUUUAUUGUAUGAGAUGAUCAUGUUUUGUAACCGAGUUAUCGGCAACUGGCAGGAGCCAUAUGGUUGUCGCUUUAUUGUAUGCAAUGCAAUUGCGCUGUAAUGCUUAUCACUAAGCGGUAGCGGUAGUCGUUGAAGCAUAAGAUUGGCGAGACAACAACGAUGCUACGAUGGAGAUCAAUGUAUCGCGCCGGUGAUGAUGGUGAUCAUGACGGUGCUUCGGAGAUGGAGAUCACAAGCACAAGAUGAUGAUGGCCAUAUCAUAUCACUUAUAUUGAUUGCAUGUGAUGUUUAUCUUCUAUGCAUCUUAUCUUGCUUUGAUUGACGGUAGCAUUAUAAGAUGAUCUCUCACUAAAUUUCAAGAUAAAAGUGUUCUCCAUGAGUAUGCACCGUUGCCAAAGUUCGUCGUGCCCAGACACCACAUGAUGAUCGGGUGUGAUAAGCUCUACGUCCAUCUACAAUGGGUGCAAGCCAGUUUUUGCACACGCAGAAUACUCAGGUUAAACUUGACGAGCCUAGCAUAUGCAGAUAUGGCCUCGGAACACUGAGACCGAAAGGUCAAGCAUGAAUCAUAUAGUAGAUAUGAUCAACAUAGUGAUGUUCACCAUUGAAAACUACUCCAUUUCACGUGAUGAUCGGUUAUUGUUUAGUUGAUUUGGAUCACGUGAUCACUUAGAAGAUUAGAGGGAUGUCUUUCUAAGUGGGAGUUCUUAAGUAAUAUGAUUAAUUGAACUUUAAUUUAUCAUGAACUUAGUCCUGAUAGUAUUUGCAUAUAUAUGUUGUAGAUCUAUAGCUCGCGUUAUUGCUUCCCUAUGUUUUAUAUGUGUUCCUAGAGAAAAAUAAGUUGAAAGAUGAUAGUAGCAAUGAUGCGGAUUGGAUUCGUGAUCUGAGGUUUAUCCUCAUUGCUGCACGGAAGAAAUAUGUCUUUGAUGCACCGCUAGGUGACAAACCUAUUGCAAGAGCAGAUGCAGAUGUUAUGAACAUUUGGCUAGCUCAAUAUGAUGACUACAUGAUAGUUUAGUGCACCAUGCUUAAACGGCUUAGAAUCGGGACUUCAAAGACGUUUUGAACGUCAUGGACCAUAUGAGAUGUUCUAAGAGUUGAAGUUAAUAUUUCAAGCAAAUACCGGAGUUGAGAGAUAUGAAGUCUCCAACAAGUUCUAUAGCUAAAAGAUGGAGGAGAAUAGCUCAAGCAGUGAGCAUGUGCUCAGAUUGUCUGGGUACUACAAUCACUUGAAUCAAGUGGGAGUUAAUCUUCCAGAUAAAAUAGUGAUUGACAGAAUUCUCUAGUCACCAUCACCAAGUUAGUAGAACUUCGUGAUGAACUAUGAUAUGCAAGGGAUAAUGGAAACAAUUCCCAAGCUCUUCGUAAUGCUGAAAUCGAAGAAGGUAGAAAUCAAGAAAAAUAUCAAGUGUUGAUGGUAGACAAGACCACUAGUUUCAAGAAAAGGGCAAAGGGAAGAAGGGGAACUUCAAGAAGAACGGCAAGCAAGUUGCUGCUCAAGUGAAGAAGCCCAAGUCUGGUCCUAAGCCUGAGACUACGUGCUUCUACUGCAAAGGGACUGGUCACUGGAAGCGGAAUUGCCCCAAGUAUUUGGCGGAUAAGAAAGGAUGGCAAAGUGAACAAAGGUAUAUUUGANNNNNNNNNNNNNNNNNNNNNNNNNNNNNNNNNNNNNNNNNNNNNNNNNNNNNNNNNNNNNNNNNNNNNNNNNNNNNNNNNNNNNNNNNNNNNNNNNNNNNNNNNNNNNNNNNNNNNNNNNNNNNNNNNNNNNNNNNNNNNNNNNNNNNNNNNNNNNNNNNNNNNNNNNNNNNNNNNNNNNNNNNNNNNNNNNNNNNNNNNNNNNNNNNNNNNNNNNNNNNNNNNNNNNNNNNNNNNNNNNNNNNNNNNNNNNNNNUAUUUGAUACUGGUUCAGUUUCUAAGAGUAGUAACUCGAAACGGAAGUUGCAGAAUGAACAGAGACUAGUUAAGGGUGAAGUGACGAUGUGUGUUGGAAGUGGUUCCAAGAUUGAUAUGAUCAUCAUCGCACACUCCCUAUACUUUCGAGAUUAGUGUUGAACCUAAAUAAGUGUUAUUUGGUGUUUGCAUUGAGCAUGAAUAUGAUUUGAUCAUGUUUAUUGCAAUAUGGUUAUUCAUUUAAGUAAGAGAAUAAAUUGUUGUUCUGUUUACAUAUAUGGUUACACACCCAAUGAAAAUGGUUCGUUGGAUCUCGAUUGUAGUGAUACACAUAUUCAUAAUAUUGAAACCAAAAGAUGCAAAGUUAAUAAUGAUAGUGCAACUUAUUUGUGGCACUGCUGUUUAGGUCAUAUUGGUGUAAAGCGCAUGAAGAAACUCCAUGCUGAUGUACUUUUGGAAUCACUUGAUUAUGAAUCAGUUGAUGCUUGCGAACCAUGCCUCAUGGGCAAGAUGACUAAGACUCCGUUCUCCGGAACAAUGCAGCAAGCAACAGAUUUGUUGGAAAUCAUGCAUACUGAUGUAUGUGGUCCGAUGAAUAUUGAAGCUCGCGGCAGGUAUCAUUAUUUUCUAAUCUUCACAGAUGAUUUGAGCAGAUAUGAGUAUAUCUACUUGAUGAAACACAAGUCUGAAACAUUUGAAAACUUCAAAGAAUUUCAGAGUGAAGUGGAGAAUCAUCGUAACAAAAUAAAAGUUUCUAUGAUAUGAUCGCAGAAGUAAAACAUUUGAGUUACAGGUUUGGCCUUCAGUUAAAAACAAUGUGAAAUAGUUCACUACUCACACCACCUGGAACACCACAGUGUAAUGGUGUGUCCGAACGUCAUGACCGUACUUUAUUAGAUAUGGUGCGAUCCAUGAUGUCUCUUACUGAUUUACCGCUAUCGUUUUGGGGUUAUGCUUUAGAGACGGCCGCAUUCACGUUAAAUAGGGCACCAUCUAAAUCCUUGAGACGAUACCGUAUGAACUAUGGUUUGGCUAGAAACCUAAGCGGUCGUUUCUUAAAGUUUGAGGUUGCAAUGCUUAUGUGAAAAAGUUUCAACCUAAUAAGCUCUAACCCAAAUUGGAGAAGUGCGUCUUCAUAGGAUACCCAAAAGAAAAUGUUGGGUACACCUUCUAUCACAGAUCCGAAGGCAAGACAUUUGUUGCCAAGAAUGGAUCCUUUCUAGAGAAGGAGUUUUCUCUCGAAAGAAGUGAGCGGGAGGAAAGUAGAACUUGAUGAGGUAACUGUACCUGCUCCCUUAUUGGAAAGUAGUUCAUCAUAGAAACCGGUUUCUGUGACACCUACACCAAUUAGUGAGGAAGUUAAUGAUGAUGAUCAUGGAACUUCAGAUCAAGUUAUUACUGAACCUCGUAGAUCAACCAGAGUAAGAUCCGCACCAGAGUGGUACGGUAAUCCUAUUCUGGAAGUCAUGCUACUAGAUCAUGAUGAACCUACGAACUAUGAAGAAGCGAUGGUGAGCCCAGAUUCCGCAAAAUGGCUAGAAGCCAUGAAAUUUGAGAUGGGAUCCAUGUAUGAGAACAAAGUGUGGACUUUGGUUGACUUGCCCGUUGAUCGGCAAGCAAUUGAGAAUAAAUGGAUCUUCAAGAAGAAGACCGACGUUGACGGUAAUGUUACUGUCUACAAAGCUCGACUUGUUGCAAAAGGUUUUCGACAAGUUCAAGGGAUUGACUAGGAUGAGACCUUCUCACCCGUAGCGAUGCUUAAGUCUGUCCGAAUCAUGUUAGCAAUUGCCGCAUUUCAUGUUUAUGAAAUCUGGCAAAUGGAUAAACAAAACUGCAUUCCUUAAUGGAUUUAUUAAAGAAGAGUUGUAUAUGAUGCAACCAGAAGGUUUGUCAAUCCUAAAGGUACUAACAAAAUAUGCAAGCUCCAGUGAUCCAUCUAUGGACUGGUGCAAGCAUCUCGGAGUUGGAAUAUACGCUUUGAUAAGUUGAUCAAAGCAUAUAGUUUUAUACAGACUUGCGGUGAAGCCUGUAUUUACAAGAAAGUGAGUGGGAGCACUACAACAUUUCUGAUAAGUAUAUGUGAAAGACAUAUUGUUGAUCGGAGAUAAUAUAGAAUUAUUCUGCAAAGCAUAAAGGAAUGUUUGAAAGGAGUUUUUCAAAGAAAGACCUCAGUGAAGCUGCUUACAUAUUGAGCAUCAAGAUCUAUAGAGAUAGAUCAAGACGCUUGAUAAGUUUUUCAAUGAGUACAUACCUUGACAAGAUUUUGAAGUAGUUCAAAAUGGAACAGUCAAAGAAGGAGUUCUUGCCUGUGUUACAAAGCUGUAAAGUUGAGUAAGACUCAAAACCCGACCACGGCAGAAGAUAGAGAGAGAAUGAAAGUCAUUCCCUAUGCCUCAGCCAUAGGUUCUAUAAAGUAUGCCAUGUAUUGUACCAGACCUAUUGUAUACCCUGCCCUGAGUUUGGCAAGGGAGUACAAUAGUGAUCUAGGAGUAGAUCACUGGACAUUGGUCAAAAUUAUCCUUAGUGGAAUAAGGAUAUGUUUCUCGAUUAUGGAGGUGACAAAAGGUUCGUCGUAAAGGGUUACGUCGAUGCAAGUUUUGACACUGAUCUAGAUGACUCUAAGUCUCAAUCUGGAUACAUAUUGAAAGUGGGAGCAAUUAGCUAGAGUAGCUCCGUGCAGAGCAUUGUUGACAUAGAAAUUUGCAAGAUACAUACGGAUCUGAAUGUUGCAGACCCGUUGACUAAACUUCUCUCACAAGCAAAACAUGAUCACACCUUAGCACUCUUUGGGUGUUAAUCACAUAGCGAUGUGAACUUGAUUAUUGACUCUAGUAAACCCUUUGGGUGUUAGUCACAUGACAAUGUGAACUAUGGGUGUUAAUCACAUGGUGAUGUGAACUAUUGAUGUUAAAUCACAUGGCGAUGUGAUCUAGAUUAUUGACUCUAGUGCAAGUGGGAGACUGAAGGAAAUAUGCCCUAGAGGCAAUAAUAAAGUUAUUAUUUAUUUCCUUAUUUCAUGAUAAAUGUUUAUUAUUCAUGCUAGAAUUGUAUUAACCGGAAACAUAAUACAUGUGUGCAUACAUAGACAAACAGAGUGUCACUAGUAUGCCUCUACUUGACUAGCUCGUUGAUCAAAGAUGGUUAUGUUUCCUAACCAUAGACAUGAGUUGUCAUUUGAUUAAUGGGGUCGCAUCAUUAGGAGAAUGAUGUGAUUGACUUGACCCAUUCUGUUAGCUUAGCACUUGAUCGUUUAGUUUGUUGCUAUUGCUUUCUUCAUGACUUAUACAUGUUCCUAUGACCAUGAGAUUAUGCAACUCCCGUUUACCGGAGGAACACUUUGUGUGCCACCAAACGUCACAACGUAACUGGGUGAUUAUAAAGGUGCUCUAUAGGUGUCUCCAAAGGUACUUGUUGGGUUGGCGUAUUUCGAGAUUAGGAUUUGUCACUCCGAUUGUCAGAGAGGUAUCUCUGGGCCCACUCGGUAAUGCACAUCACUAUAAGCCUUGCAAGCAUUGCAACUAAUGAGUUAGUUGCGGGAUGAUGUAUUACGGAACGAGUAAAGAGACUUGCCGGUAACGAGAUUGAACUAGUUAUUGAGAUACCGACGAUCGAAUCUCGGGCAAGUAACAUACCAAUGACAAAGGGAACAACGUAUGUUGUUAUGCGGUCUGACCGAUAAAGAUCUUCGUAGAAUAUGUAGGAGCCAAUAUGGGCAUCCAGGUCCCGCUAUUGGUUAUUGACCAGAGAGGUGUCUCAGUCAUGUCUACAUAGUUCUCGAACCCGUAGGGUCCGCACGCUUAACGUUCGUUGACGAUAUAGUACUAUAUGAGUUAUGUAUGUUGAUGACCGAAUGUUGUUCGGAGACCGCGAUGAGAUCACGGACAUGACGAGGAACUCCGGAAUGGUCCAGAGACAAAGUUUGAUAUAUGGGAUAGUAGUGUUUGAUCUCCGGGAGGGUUCCGGAAUUCACCAGAAGGGGUUUCGGAUGUUUCCCGAAAUGUUUGGGCACGAGAACACUUUAUCUGGGCCAAAGGGGAAAGCCCACGAGGCUUUUGGAAAGUGCAAAAGGAAGUUUUGCGGAGACCAGAGGCUAGAUGCCAGGAACCCUGGCGUCUAGGGGGUAGACGCCGGGAACCCUGGCGUCUAGCCCUGGAGUCCGAGAAGGACUCUUGCCUUUCGGGUGAAACCGACUUUGAGGAGGCUUUUACUCCAAGUUUCGACCCCAGGGCUCAACAUAUAAAUAGAGGGGUAGGGUUAGCACCAAAGAUACAUCAAGAAACACCAAGGCGUGUGCCGGCAACCCCGUCCCCUCUAGUUUAUCCUCCGUCAUAGUUUUCGUAGUGCUUAGGUGAAGCCCUGCGGAGAUUGUUCUUCACCAAAACCGUCACCACAUUGUCGUGCUGCCGGAACUCAUCUACUACUUCGCCCCUCUUGCUGGAUCGAGAAGGCGAGGACGUCACCGAGCCGAACGUGUGCAGAACUCGGAGGUGUUGUGCUUUCGGUACUUGGAUCGGUCGGACGUGAAGACGUACGACUACAUCAACCGCGUUGAUAUAACGCUUCCGCGAACGGUCGACGAGGGUACGUAGACAACACUCUCCCCUCUCGUUGCUAUGAAUCACCAUGAUCUUGUGUGUGCGUAGGAUUAUUUUUUUGAAAUUACUACGUUCCCCAACAGCUACACUACUCUAAUGCAAGCAGUAGAGAGAAGAAUAGGUGAUAUCUGGUGAUCAAGGGGGGGGGGCUUGCCUGGUUGCUCUGACAAGGAGGGGUCGUCAACAACGUAGUCGAUCGGGGCACCAGCAGCGGACUCAGUCUCGUAGUCUACCGGAGAGAAGAGGGGGAAGAAACAAUGAAUACAAUGCAAACAGAUGCAUGUCAAUGCAUGACAAGACAAGUAACGGCGCCAGGUGUGCCCUAACGCGGUAGGAGGUGAUACCGGCGAAGGGGGGAAACAUCCGGGAAAGUAUCCCCGGUGUUUCGCGUUUUCAGACAGAUGAACUGGAGGGGAAAAGUUGCGUGUUCCCUAUGCAAGGGAAGGGUGGCGGACGAACGGGCUACUUAUCCGGAUUCAUCUCGUCAUUCUGAGCAACAUUCAUGUAUAAAAAAAUUCAUCCGAGCUACGGUUUAUUUAUUAUGAUUUUCCCAAGUUUUUAGCAAUAUUCUGAAUCAUUAUUAAUUCGAAAUUAAAUAGGUAAAUUCUAGGAACACCUAGCUCUGCGUACAUAGAAGUGUACCAGAGGGUGACAGGCGGGCCAGGGGGUCCUAGUUGACCAGUCAACGUUUGACUAGUCAACAGGGGUUGCCUCCCCCCCCCCCCCGUCAUUGACUGUUACAUUAACUAACUAGUUAAUUUAGUCUAACUAGGUUAUUAGUCUAAUAAAUUUUAAUUAGUUUAAUUAAACCUAAUUAAUUUAAUUAAUUAUUAUUAUUAUUAUAUUUUUUAAAAUCUUUGUUUAUUUCGUUUUCUUUUAAUAGGGGGCCGAGCCCCACCUGUCAUAGGCCUGAGUGGCCAAUCGGGGCGGGUGGCUUAACAGGCGCGGGCGCCCGUGGAGCCCGAACCCGCUGUUGGGGAACGUAGUAAUUUCAAAAUUUUCCUACGCACACGCAAGAUCAUGGUGAUGCAUAGCAAUGAGAGGGGAGAGUGUUGUCCACGUACCCUCAUAGACCAUUAAGCGGAAGCGUUAUGACAACGCGGUUGAUGUAGUCGUACGUCUUCACGGUCGACCGAUCCUCGGUACCGAACGUACGACACCUCCGCGUUCAGCACACGUUCAACUCGGUGAUGUCCCACGAACUCACGAUCCAGUAGAGCUCAAGGGAGAGUUUCGUCAGCACGACGGCGUGGUGACGAUGUUGAUGAAGCUACCCACGCAGGGCUUCGCCUAAGCACCGCUACGAUAUGACCGAGGUGGAUUAUGGUGGAGGGGGCACCGCACACGGCUGGGAGAGAUGAAUGAUCAACUUGUGUGUUCUAGGGUGCCCCCUGCCCCUGUAUAUAAAGGAGCAAGGGGGAAAGGCCGGCCGGCCCUGUAGGGCGCGCCAGGAGGAGGAGUCCUCCUCCUAGUAGGAGUAGGACUCCCCUCUUUCCUACUCCUACUAGGAGGGGGAAAGGAAGGGGAGAAGGAGAAGGAAAGGCCCCCCCUUCCUAGUCCAAUUCGGACCAGAGGGGGAGGGGCGUGCGUCCUGCCAUGGCCGGCCCCUCUCUCUCUCUACUAGGGCCAAACAAGGCCCAUUAACCCCCGGGGGUUCCGGUAACCCCUCCGGCACUCCGGUAAAAUCCCAAUUUCACCCGGAACUCUUCCGAUGUCCAGAUGUAGGCUUCUAAUAUAUCAAUCUUUAUGUCUCGACCAUUUCGAGACUCCUCGUCAUGUCAGUGAUCAUAUCCGUGGCUCCGAACUACCUUAGGUACAUCAAAAAACAUAAACUCAUAAUAUCGAUCGUCACAGAACUUUAAGCGUGCGGACCCUACGAGUUCGAGAACUAUGUAGACAUGACUGAGACAUGUCUUUGGUCAAUAACCAAUAGCAGAACCUGGAUGCUCAUAUUGGUUCCUACAUAUUCUACGAAGAUCUUUAUCGAUCAAACCGUAUAACAACAUAUGGUGUUCCCUUUGUCAUCGGUAUGUUACUUGCCCGAGAUUCGAUCGUCGGUAUCUCAAUACCUAGUUCAGUCUCGUUACCGGCAAGUCUCUUUACUCGUUCUGUAAUGCAUCAUCCCGCAACUAACACAUUAGUCACAUUGCUUGCAAGGCUUAUAAUGAUGUGCAUUACCGAGAGGGCCCAGAGAUACCUCUCCGACAAUCGGAGUGACAAAUCCUAUUCUCGAUCUAUGCCAACUCAAUGAUCACCAUAGGAGACACCUUUAGAGCACCUUUAUAAUCACCCAGUUACGUUGUGACGUUUGGUAGCACACAAAGUGUUCUUCUGGUAAUCGGGAGUUGCAUAAUCUCAUAGUCGUAGGAACAUGUAUAAGUCAUGAAGAAAGCAAUAACAGUAAACUAAACGAUCAAGUGCUAAGCUAACGGAAUGGGUCAUGUCAAUCACAUCAUUCUACUAAUGAUGUGAUCCCGUUGAUCAAAUGACAACUCGUGUCUAUGGCUAGGAAACUCAACCAUCUUUGAUCAACGAGCUAGUCAAAUAGAGGCAUACUAGUGACACUAUGUUUGUCUAUGUAUUCACACAUGUAUUAUGUUUCCGGUUAAUACAAUUCUAGCAUGAAUAAUAAACAUUUAUCAUGAUAUGAGGAAAUAAAUAAUAACUUUAUUAUUGCCUCUAGGGCAUAUUUCCUUCAGUCUCCCACUUGCACUAGAGUCAAUAAUCUAUAUUACACAGUAAUGAUUCUAACACCCAUGGAGUCUUGGUGCUGAUCAUGUUUUGCUCGUGGAAGAGGCUUAGUCAACGGGUCUGCAACAUUCAGAUCCGUAUGUAUCUUUCAAAUCUCUAUAUCUCACACCUGGACUUGAUCCCAGAUGGAAUUGAAGCGUCUCUUCAUGUGGUCGGUUCUUUUGUGAAAUCUGGAUUCCUUUGCCAAGGCAAUUGCACCACUAUUGUAACAAAAGAUUUUCAUUGGACCCGAUGCACUAGGUAUGACACCUAGAUCAGAUAUGAACUCCUUCGUCCAGACUCCUUCAUUUCAUGCUUCCGAAGCAGCUAUGUAUUCCGCUUCACACGUAGAUCCCGCCACGACGCUUUGUUUAGAACUGUUCCAACUUACAACUCCACCGUUCAAUAUAAACACGUAUCCGUUUUGCGAUUUAGAAUCAUCCGGAUCAGUGUCAAAGCUUGCAUCGACCUAACCAUUUAUGACGAGCUCUUUGUCACCUCCAUAAACGAGAAACAUAUCCUUAGUCCUUUUCAGGUAUUUCCGGAUGUUCUUGACUGUUGUCCAGUGAUCCACUCCUGGAUUACUUUGGUAACUCCCUGCUAAUUUAAUAGCAAGGCACACAUCAGGUCUGGUACACAGCAUUGCAUACAUGAUAGAGCUUAUGGUUGAAGCAUAGGGAACACUUUUCAUUUUCUCUCUAUCUUCUACAGCGGUCGGGCAUUGAGUCUUACUCAACUUCACACCUUGUAACACAGGCACGAACCCUUUCUUUGCUUGAUCCAUUUUGAACUUCUUCAAAACUUUAUCAAGGUAUGUGCUUUGUGACAGUCCAAUUAAGCGUCUUGAUCUAUCUCUAUAGAUCUUGAUGCCCAAUAUAUAAGCAGCUUCUCCGAGGUCUUUCAUUGAAAAACUUUUAUUGAAGUAUCCUUUUAUGCUAUCCAGAAAUUCUACAUCAUUUCCAAUCAACAAUAUGUCAUCCACAUAUAAUAUUAGAAAUGCUACAUAGCUCCCACUCACUUUCUUGUAAAUACAGGCUUCUCCAAAAGUCUGUAUAAAACCAUAUGCUUUGAUCACACUAUCAAAACGUUUAUUCCAACUCUGAGAGGUUUCCACCAAUCCAUAAAUGGAUCGCUGGAGCUUGCACACUUAGUUAGCACCCUUUGGAUUGACAAAACCUUCUGGUUGCAUCAUAUACAACUCUUCUUCCAGAAAUCUAUUCAGGAAUGCGGUUUUGACAUCCAUUUGCCAAAUUUCAUAAUCAUAAAAUGCGGCAAUUGCUAACAUGAUCCGGACAGACUUAAGCAUCGCUGUGGGUGAGAAAGUCUCAUCAUAGUCAACUCCUUGAACUUGUCGAAAACCUUUCGCAACAAGUCGAGCUUUGUAGACAGUAACAUUACUGUCAGCAUUAGUCUUCUUCUUGAAGAUUCAUUUAUUCUCGAUGGCUUGCCGAUCAUCGGGCAAGUCAACCAAAGUCCACACUUUGUUCUCAUACAUGGAUCCCAUCUCAAAUUUCAUGGCCUCAAGCCAUUUUGCGGAAUCUGGGCUCACCAUCGCUUCUUCAUAGUUCGUAGGUUCGUCAUGGUAAAGUAACAUGACUUCCAGAACAGGAUUACCGUACCACUCUGGUGCGGAUCUUACUCUGUUGACCUACGAGGUUCGGUAGUAACUUGAUCUGAAGUUUCAUGAUCUUCAUCAUUUGCUUCCUCACUAAUUGGCGUAGGUGUCACAGGAACCGGUUUCUGUGAUGAACUACUUUCCAAUAAGGGAGCAGGUAUAGUUACCUCAUCAAGUUCUACUUUCCUCCCACUCACUUCUUUCAAGAGAAACUGCUUAUCUAGAAAGGAUCCAUUUUUAGCAACAAAUGUCUUGCCUUCGGAUCUGUGAUAGAAGGUGUGCCCAAUAGUUUCCUUUGGGUAUCCUAUGAAGACACAUUUCUCCGAUAUGGGUUCGAGCUUAUCAGGUUGAAGCUUUUUCACAUAAGCAUCGCAGCCCCAAACUUUAAGAAAUGACAACUUUGGUUUCUUGCCAAACCACAGUUCAUAAGGCGUCGUCUCAAUGGAUUUUGAUGGUGCCCUAUUUAACGUGAAUGCAGCCGUCUCUAAAGCAUAACCCCAAAACGAUAGCGGUAAAUCUGUAAGAGACAUCAUAGAUCGCACCAUAUCUAGUAAAGUACGAUUAUGACGUUCGGACACACCAUUACGGUGUGGUGUUCCGGGUGGCGUGAGUUGCAAAACUAUUCCGCAUUGUUUCAAAUGUAGACCAAACUCGUAACUCAAAUAUUCUCCUCCAUGAUCAGAUCGUAGAAACUUUAUUUUCUUGUUACGAUGAUUUUCCAUUUCACUCUGAAAUUCUUUGAACUUUUCAAAUGUUUCAGACUUAUGUUUCAUUAAGUAGAUAUACCCAUAUCUGCUCAAAUCAUCUGUGAAGGUGAGAAAAUAAUGGUACCCGCCACGAGCCUCAAUAUUCAUUGGACCAUAUACAUCAGUAUGUAUGAUUUCCAACAAAUUUGUUGCUCGCUCCAUAGUUCCAGAGAACGACGUUUUAGUCAUCUUGCCCAUGAGGCAUGGUUCGCAAGUACCAAGUGAUUCAUAAUCAAGUGAUUCCAAAAGUCCAUCAGAAUGGAGUUUCUUCAUGCGCUUUAUACCAAUAUGACCUAAACGGCGGUGCCACAAAUAAGUUGCACUAUCAUUAUCAACUCUGCAUCUUUUGGCUUCAACAUUAUGAAUAUGUGUAUUACUACUAUCGAGAUUUAACACAAAUAGACCACUCUUCAAGGGUGCAUGACCAUAAAAGAUAUUAUUCAUAUAAAUAAAACAACCAUUAUUCUCAUAUUUAAAUGAAUAACCGUCUCGCAUCAAACAAAAUCCAGAUAUAAUGUUCAUGUUUAACGCUGGCACCAAAUAACAAUUAUUCAGGUCUAAAAUUAAUCCCGAAUGUAGAUGUAGAGGUAGCGUGCCGACGGCGAUCACAUCGACAUUGGAACCAUUUCCCACGCGCAUCGUCACCUCGUCCUUAACCAAUCUUCGCUCAAUCUGUAGUCCCUGUUUCGAGUUGCAAAUAUUAGCAAUAGAACCAGUAUCAAAUACUCAGGUGCUACUGUGAGCUCUAGUAAGGUAUACAUCAAUAACAUGUAUAUCACAUAUACCUUUGUUCACCUUUCCAUCCUUCUUAUCCGCCAAAUACUUGGGGCAGUUCUGCUUCCAGUGACCAGUCUGUUUGCAGUAGAAGCACUCAGUCUUAGGCUUAGGUCCAGACUUGGGUUUCUUCUCCUAAGCAGCAACUUGUUUGCCGUUCUUUUUGAAGUUCCCCUUCUUCUUCUUCCCUUUACCCUUUUUCUUGAAACUGGUGGUCUUGUUGACCAUCAACACUUGAUGCUCCUUCUUGAUUUCUACCUCUGCAUCCUUUAGCAUUGCGAAGAGCUCGGGAAUUGUCUUAUCCAUCCCUUGCAUAUUAUAGUUCAUCACGAAGCUCUUAUAGCUUGGUGGCAGUGAUUGAAGAACUGUGUCAAUGACACUAUCAACGGGAAGAUUAACUCCCAGUUGAGUCAAAUGAUUAUUGUCCCCAGACAUUCUGAGUAUAUGUUCACUUACAGAACUAUUCUCCUCCAUCUUGCAGCUGUAGAACUUAUUAGAGACUUCAUAUCUCUCAAUCCGGGCAUUUGCUUGAAACAUUAACUUCAACUCAUGUAACAUCUCAUAUGCCCCAUGACGUUCAAAACAUCGUUGAAGUCCCGGUUCUAACCCGUAAAGCAUGGCACAGUGAACUAUCGAGUAGUCAUCAGCUUUGCUCUGCCAGAUGUUCUUAACGUCAUCAGCAGCAUCUGCAGCAGGCCUGGCACCCUGCGGUGCUUCCAGGACGUAAUUCUUCUGUGCAGCAAUGAGGAUAAUCCUCAAAUUACGGACCCAGUCCGUGUAAUUGCUACCAUCGUCUUUUAACUUUGCUUUCUCAAGGAACGCAUUAAAAUUUAAUGGAACAACAACACGGGCCAUCUAUCUACAACAACAUAGACAAGCAAAAUACUGUUAGGUACUAAGUUCAUGAUAAAUUUAAGUUCAAUUAAUUAUAUUACUUAAGAACUCCCACUUAGAUAGAUAUCCCUCUAAUCAUCUAAGUGAUCACGUGAUCCAAAUCAACUAAACCAUAACCGAUCAUCACGUGAAAUGGAGUAGUUUUCGAUGGUGAACAUCACUAUGUUGAUCAUAUCUGCUAUAUGAUUCACGCUUGACCUUUCGGUCUCAGUGUUCCGAGGCCAUAUCUGCAUAUGCUAGGCUCGUCAAGUUUAACCCGAGUAUUCUGUGUGUGCAAAACUGGCUUGCACCCAUCAUAUAAGAACGUUGAGCUUAUCACACCCGAUCAUCACGUGGUGUCUCGGCACGAUGAUCUUUUGCAGCAGUGCAUACUCAGGAAGAACACUUGUACCUUGAAAUUUUUAGUGAGAGAUCAUCUUAUAAUGCUACCGUCAAUCAAAGCAGAAUAAGAUGCAUAAAGGAUAAACAUAGCAUGCAAUCAAUAUACGUGAUAUGAUAUGGCCAUCAUCAUCUUGUGCCUUUGAUCUCCAUCUCCAAAGCACCGUCAUGAUCACCAUCAUCACCGGCGCGACACCUUGAUCUCCAUCGUAGCAUCGUUGUCGUCUCGCCAACUAUUGCUUCUACGACUAUUGCUACCGCUUAGUGAUAAAGUAAAGCAAUUACAUGGCGAUUGCAUUUGAUACAAUAAAGCGACAACCAUAUGGCUCCUGCCAGUUGCCGAUAACUCUGUUACAAAACAUGAUCAUCUCAUAUAAUAAAAUAUAGCAUCAUGCUUUGACCAUAUCACAUCACAACAUGCCCUGCAAAAACAAGUUAGACGUCCUCUACUUUGUUGUUGCAAGUGUUACGUGGCUGCUACGGGCUGAGCAAGAACCGUUCUUACCUAUGCAUCAAACCACAAUGAUAGUUCGUCAAGUUAGUGCUGUUUUAACCUUCAACAAGGACUGGGCGUAGUCACACUCGGUUCAACUAAAGUUGGAGAAACUGACACCCGCCAACCACCUGUGUGCAAAUCACGUCGGUAGAACCAGUCUCGCGUAAGCGUACGCGUAAUGUCAGUCCGGGCUGCUUCAUCCAACAAUACCACUGAACCAAAGUAUGACAUGCUGGUAAGCAAUAUGACUUGUACCGCCCACAACUCACUUGUGUUCUACUCGUGCAUAUAACAUCUACGCAUAAACCUGGCUCAGAUGCCACUGUUGGGGAACAUAGUAAUUUCAAAAUUUUCCUACGCACACGCAAGAUCAUGGUGAUGCGUAGCAACGAGAGAGGAGAGUGUUGUCCACGUACCCUCGUAGACCGUUAAGCGGAAGCGUUAUGACAACGCGGUUGAUGUAGUCAUACAUCUUCACGAUCGACCGAUCCUCAGUACCGAACGUACGGCACCUCCGCGUUCAGCACACGUUCAGCUCGGUGACGUCCCGUGAACUCACGAUCUAGUAGAGCUCAUGGGAGAGUUUCAUCAACACAACUGUGUGGUGACGAUGUUGAUGAAGCUACCGACGCAGGGCUUCGCCUAAGCACCGCUACGAUAUGACCGAGGUGGAUUAUGGUGGAGGGGGCACCGCACAUGGCUAGGAGAGAUCAAUGAUCAACUUGUGUGUUCUAGGGUGCCCCCCUACCCCCGUAUAUAAAGGAAGGUCGGCCGGCCCUGUAGGGCACGCCAGGAGGAGGAGUCCUCCUCCUCGUAGGAGUAGGACUCCCCUCUUUCCUACUCCUACUAGGAGGGGGAAAGGAAGGGGGAGAAGGAGAAGGAAAGGGGGGCACCCCCCCUUCCUAGUCCAAUUCGGACUAGAGGGGGAGGGGGCGCGCGGCCGGUCCCUCUCUCUCUCUACUAGGGCCCAACAAGGCCCAUUAACCCCCGGGGGGUUCCGGUAACCCCUCCGGCACUCCGGUAAAAUUCCGAUUUCACCCGAAACUCUUCCGAUGUCCAAAUGUAGGCUUCCAAUAUAUCAAUCUUUAUGUCUCGACCAUUUCGAGACUCCUCGUCAUGUCCGUGAUCAUAUUCGGGACCCCGAACUACCUUUGGUACAUCAAAACAUAUAAACUCAUAAUACCGAUCGUCACAGAACUUUAAGUGUGCAGACCCUACGGGUUCGAGAACUAUGUAGACAUGACCGAGACAUGUCUUCGGUCAAUAACCAAUAGCGGAACCUGGAUGCUCAUAUUGGUUCCUACAUAUUCUACGAAGAUCUUUAUCGGUCAAACCGCAUAACAACAUACGUUGUUCCCUUUGUCAUCGGUAUGUUACUUGCCCGAGAUUCGAUCGUCGGUAUCUCAAUACAUAAUUUAAUCUCGUUACCGGCAAGUCUCUUUAAUCAUUCUGUAAUGCAUCAUCCCCGCAACUAACUCAUUAGUCACAUUGCUUGCAAGGCUUAUAAUGAUGUGCAUUACCGAGAGGGCCCAGAGAUACCUCUCCGGCAAUCGGAGCGACAAAUCCUAUUCUCGAUCUAUGCCAACUCAACGAUCACCAUCGGAGAGACCUAUAGAGCAACUUUAUAAUCACCAAGUUACAUUGUGACGUUUGGUAGCAUACAAAGUGUUCUUCCGGUAAUCGGGAGUUGCAUAAUCUCAUAGUCAUAGGAACAUGUAUAAGUCAUGAAGAAAGCAAUAGUUGUAAACUAAACGAUCAAGUGCUAAGCUAACUGAAUGGGUCAUGUCAAUCACAUCAUUCUACUAAUGAUGUGAUCCCGUUGAUCAAAUGACAACUCAUGUCUAUGGCUAGGAAACUUAAUCAUCUUUGAUCAACGAGCUAGUCAAGUAGAGGCAUACUAGUGACACUAUGUUUGUCUAUGUAUUCACACAUGUAUUAUGUUUCCGGUUAAUACAAUUCUAGCAUGAAUAAUAAACAUUUAUCAUGAUAUGAGGAAAUAAAUAAUAACUUUAUUAUUGCCUCUAGGGCAUAUUUCCUUCACUCGCCUGGGCGUAGGGCGAGGCCGAAACCACGGCGAGGCGAGCCGGCGAAGGGGGGUGGCCGGUGGCCAGGUGCGGUGGUGGCUGGGGCGAAGGGGCGGAGCCGCAAGCUAUGGCGGCGGGUGCCGAGCAGCGGCAGAAGGAGGAGCUGGUAGUAUGCGAGGAGGGGGCAACGACUGCGACAGCGGGUGGACGGGGCUGGCGUGGGCAACAACAGCAAUAGGCGAAGGGGGCAAGCGGAGCAUGUACGGGCGCAGGCGGACGCUGCUGCAGGCGGUCGCCACGGCGGACAGCGGAUACGGCCGGGCGAGCGCGUGCGCGCAAGGUGCGCGGGUACUGGUGCGAUUGCGAGCCGAGGCGCACGCGGGGCAUGGUUGUGGUGGUGCGGGGCAGUGCAAAGCCCGGCGACGACGAGUGCUGGGCUGGCGAGCAAGGCCGAGCGGGGCUAUGCGGGCGACGCCGAAGCGCGAGUGGGAUGAUGGUCGGGCGCGCGAGCGCGCGGUGUGCGCACGGGGAUGGGGGAAGAAGCAAGUGGCAGCGAGAGGGCUCACCCCCGUUUGUAGAUGAACAGGGGGUCGGCGAGGCGCGAGGUAGCGACGCGGGGAGGAGGAUGAGGAUGAUGUUCCGGCGACGGCGAUCCGGGGAAGGGAACGGCUCGAUCCGCGCGAGGCAGGGGUCCCUAGCUCCGAUGCGUCCACAUACUCAACGAACACGGCGGAGGCGGUGCUCCCGGCGCAGUCUAAGGCGGCGGGAAGGGCAAUGGACACGAGGAUGAGGUCGUCCAUGGCGACGUGGUUCAGCUACGGGCGAGGUGGAAGAAGCGGCGCAAGGGAAGGGGAAAUGGCGCUAGGGUUUCGCCUGGGACUCGGGGGACGAUGCCCUUAUCCCCUCUGCGACGCCUUGUAGCACCGCCGUGGUGAGCAAGGCGCGGUCGCAACGGCGAUGAUGGCGUGCGAUGGUGACACACACGGGGAGAGAGAGGGGUUAAGGAUGAGGGGGUUUAGGUGGGCUGGGCGCACUGUGUAACUUAGGCCCAGUUGCAUAGUAGCUUGUAGGUAUUUUCCAUUUCUCCUUUUUUUUCUUUUAUGUUUAUUUAAUUUUCCUAUGUCUUGUCUUUAGUUUAGGUAGCAAAUGAAAUUUUGGUGAACAUGUAACUUGGCACAUAAGUCUUGGGUCAUACAAUUGAGUUGCACACAAAGCUUCAAGUUAUUUUGAAAAGGAUUGAUAUUUGUUUACUUUUAAAAGAUGAAUUUAAAUGUUGUGUGUUCCUAUUUUAAUUAUCUUAGAGGCAUAUAAACAUUCCCAAAAUGUUGUUUGAUGUUUGUUAAUUUGUUAGUGAAUAUUUACAACCUUUUGAACAUUUUUAAUUCACUGUUUUAUGAAAUUAUAAUUUGACUUGUUUUUUUAAUUUGAACUUGAUCUCAAUUUGAAACAAGUGAGGUUUAGAAAAAGUUUAAUGAUGAUGACAUGGCAUGAUUAGCAAGGGUUUACUAUAGCUUAACUAUCGGGGUGUCAGAAAUCUCCUUCACUACAAGAAAUCUCGUCCCGAGAUUUAAGAGGUGUGGUAAGGAUGAAUGUCUGGUUACGAAAUUCUAACGGGUCUUUACGGUCUUGGUUGCUCUUCUCGAAGAGGUAGAUCCACUAUGUUGAUGCCUUCAUUCCUCUACUUAAGGUCAUCAAGAUGAAGUCGGCAUCCUUUCUUUGGGAACUCCAUCGUACUUACGAAAGAAUAAAGGGUUGGUAUUUCGAGAGAACAUGCCUUUGCAAGGUUGACUAUCUGGUCGAUAACAUCGGGGAAGGUGGCGGAAAGUAACUCCCGAAUUGAAACAUAAUAAAUUAUCGAGAGCAAAGUAAGGAGGUAUCAUGGAAAGUUUCGAGCGGGUAGGCAAGCGUUCGAUGCCUGAAGCAGAGUGUGAAAGGAGUCCAAAGCAAUGUGAAUAAGUAUUGAGUCUGAUACCAUAAUUGAUGAUCUCUCGGAAGGUGGUUCGUGAAUUACAUACGAGGCCAUGUGCGAGGAAUAGUUUUGGGAACAAGGGGGUGUACAAGAGAGUCGAGUCUUGAACCUGUGGAGCUGUGGGUUAUGGGCCCACCAUGUGGGUUAAAAGCAGGGAGGGCAUUGUCAUCUUGCACGAUCAUGAGAGCAAGGCAUGUCAGAGAAGAGACUAUCUGUUAUGUCUGCAACAAUAUCAGUACCAAGGGCGGGGGAUGAAGAGAACCAUUUUCCUGCUCGUUGAACGAGGCAGACCAAUAGGCAAAGUUCUCGUCCAUCGGUGGUUACCAGAAUGACAUCAACAAAAGCAACAGGGUCUUACCGACACAGUUGUACACCAAGGUGUUUACAUAAGCAGAAGAAUAUUACUGCUUAGAUCAUAUAGAUCACAAGAAAGGUUAAACAAAACAAUGGGAAGGAAAAUAUGUUUAAACACAUACUUCAGGGGGUAUAUCCUUCCCAAGGACAAGCAGUGUAUUGCAAUCCUACCACAAGAUUCUUGAUUUCUACCCUUCCCCAAGUUGUUUUUCACUCAAAUCAUCUUUCCACCAAAUCCAAAUCUGUGUAAGAGAGUUGAGUGUUGGGGAGACUAUCAUUUGAAGCACAAGAGCAAGGAGUUCAUCAUCAACACACCAUCCAUUACCUUUUAGAGAGUGGUGUCUCCUAAAGGUUAGGUGUCGCUUGGGAGCCUCCGACAAGAUUGUGGAGUUGAACCAAGAAGUUUGUAAGGGCAAGGAGAUCGCCUACUUCGUAAAGAUCUACCCGAGUGAGGCAAGUCCUUCAUGGGCGAUGGCCAUGGUGGGAUAGCCAAGGUUGCUUCUUCGUGGACCCUUCGUGGGUGGAGCCCUCUGUGCACUCGCGCAACCGUUACCCUUCGUGGGUUGAAUUCUCCAUCAACGUGUAUGUACGAUAGCAUCACCUAUCGGAACCACACCAAAAAUCUUCGUGUCUUCAUUGCGUUUGCACACUCCAAUCUUAUCCAUUUACUUUCUUGCAAUUAGCAUGCUUUACUCUUUCCGUUGUUCAUACUCUUGUCAUGCUUGCUUGAAAUGUAUUGUGAAUGCUUAAACUUGUGCUAAAACUCCACCUCAAUUUGAACUUAAAAACUGCCACAUUUACUUGUUGAGGGUCUAACCCCCCCCCCCCCCCCCUCCAGGUCCUUCUUCUCGAUCCUUUCAUUGCGAUUGUACCCCAAACCCACAAUUGGUCCCCGGUGAGAAGAUUAUUCUUAAUGUGGAGGCGAUGUCCUGCCCGAUAGCGAGACAUCAUUGAUGGCUUCAUCAAUUUUUGAAACUCCCACGGCAACUGUCUUCGUAAGUUGAGUGUGUGCGCAUGUGCGUGUGCGUGCGCGUGCGUGUGACGUUUCGGUGAGUCAUUUGGCCUACCAAAACGUCUUAUAUUUUGAUAUGGAGGAAGUAUAUACUCGGUGUUUCAAAAAGACAUUAGUGAGCGGUUGUGGUUGUCAUUUCAUUAAAAAAACAACUAAUUCACUUUUUUUAUGUACUUCUUAAGUCAUACUAAAAACAAUGAGAUGCAUAUGCCUUCACUCACAUUAAUGAGUUAGUAUUACCGGUGUGCAAACCUUGGCCCAAAUUAGGUUGACAAACAAAUCAUUGAGCCGCAUACCAUAAGUUUCUUUUUUGACAUUCCAUAGGCUCCUUCCAUUUCUACGACAAGCUAAAAAUGAAAUAAGCCCCUUCCAUUAAGUGCAAAACGUUCACACAAGCCUAAAGUACACAUCUGCAGACAGGAUUAACUUUGUGAAUCCAAAGAAUGUACGUAACCCAAGUCAAAUACGAAUACGUCUUGGCAACCAGUCAUACGACUGCUAGAUUUUGUGAUCCGGGCGAGAUGCACCGCCGAGGAUCGAAGUGUAUUCAUCACCCCGAAAAAAAUGGUCCAUUCACCAGGUGUGUGUGUGUGUGUGUGCAUACGAGCCCUUUUCGGCCGAAAUCGUAGUGGAUGGCGUGCUGGGCCCCGCAUUCGGUCCCGGGCCACUAGGCUGUAAUGUGGGAUUUGAUGUGGACCUGUCGGGCAUAUCCGGCGACAAGCCGGGCCCUCCAAAGCGCUCACAACCUCCUUGUUGGGCUUCCCUCCUGCGCAGCCGCCCUCUACUCCCCCCAUAAUUCAUUUCCGGCAGGAUUCUCCCUCCUAAUCCUGCUCCUAAACAACUCAUACUACCCUAACCCUCGAUUGUUUAACGCCAGAAAUGCAACGUGUCUCUUAGAGUCGGUAUAUUGUCACACGGACAUGAGUCAAACAAUCCCAAGUAUAAUAAUGCUCCCUUUCCGGCCCUAUGUACGAUCACCUAUACAUACAUGUAUAGUACUCCAAAUAUGACAUAGCACGACAUGCAGCACCAAUAAUUCUUCCUGGUACUACCUUUUUUUUUCUUUUUUGCGAAAUUGGUACCGUUGGUACAACAGGACCGUUGUGCCAACCAAUAGAGCACGUCUAUGCUGGAUCCGACCGCAUAUUUUUUUUCAGUUUUUCACGUAUCAUAGCCGUCGCAUUUGGCGUUUAUUAAGGUCGACGCACCAAUUAGCAGAACUGGGCCGCAGCAAAGCCAUGGAGCCUGUCGUCUGCCGGCAGGAGGAGACAUGUAUAAUGCCUGAAUGCCGCACCAACGGACCGGCCUAAUCAUGCUCACGAAUACUCCAUCCAUCCAUCCAUCCAAAAGAGAGAAGGGAAAGCACGCGGACGCAAUGAUUUAUCAUGAGAAGGGCAAAAGCUUAGCACUCGCAAAGUCGUCAGUGGCGAAAGCGCCCGCGGUGAGCAGAAAACGCCGUUUUUCUCCACGGAGAUGUCAAAAGGUUUCGUUGAUCGAUCCGUGUAGUACGUAAAAAGGCUUCGGUUCGGCGCGGGCGACGCGACCUGCGAGAUAUAUCUGCCUGCCUCUCCUUGCUCGCUAGCCGGGAAUGUUUGGCAGUGUAGUGGUAGUAUGUAUGUCUUACAAAAUUGAGUCGCUUAUUUUGGGACGUAGGUAGUACCACGCACGCGGAGGGAGCGAGAUUUGAGUCGAGGCGUGUAAUUCAACAGAUUGGUAGAGUAGUAUACACAAAGAGACACUGACAUUUUUCGGUCAGAGCCUCAGAGGUGAGAUUGUGAACAGUAGCAGAUCAAGCUGGCAACCCGUGUAACAUGAAGUUGCUUGCUUGCACUUGCACAAGGACUAUGGUGGUUAGCCAGCCCGGGCCGGUGCGGUGCGGGUUAAAUUAAACAAACCCGGGUGGCUGCUUUGGACUUUGCAGCCAGCGCGCGGCAUGCAUCGCGAUCGCGGUGCAGUGCGAGGGAGGGAGGGAAAGGCGAGGGGCGGGCAUGAUGGUGCGCCCGCGCGGAGGGACACGCCGAGAUGGGCGCGCUCGCUCGCCCACGCCCAUCAUCACGGCCACGGGGAGCCCGAAAACCCAGCGCGCGCACGCAGCGAGAACCCGGAGCUCUUUCUUUCACCAGCGCGCGGUCCGUUUCCCUGCUCGCGAUCGCGCGACGCACUCCACGUACGUUUGGGAUGCGCUGCACGGCCUUGAGUCUUUCACUUGGCACCGGCUUUUGCCCCCUCGCUUUGCCCGGCGCGGUGGCUGCUCCUGCUCUGCCGGGGUGUCCCUGGCCGGCAGGAGGGAGGCGUGCGGUCGCGCGGCCCCGGAUGGUUCCAAAGCCGGCGUACAGGCCGGGCGUGUCCCGUGUCGCGCCACCGUGCCAGGGUUCUGCUAGGAGCUCCGGAGAUGUAUGUGCUCAUCAUGCAUGCACGGACGCACGGGCCUUUUUCUUUCCGGUCGGGUCGGUCGACGAAUCCAUCGAUGGCGUCUCAGGACCAAAACCGCGCCGGCGUACGUGUACUCCACCGCGUAGUACGCGCACGUACCGGUCGCGCUCGCUCGUCGUACCUCGACAGCAUGAGAGCACCUUUGAUCGACCCGAGCCCGACACUUCCGUGUGGCCGCUGACGCAUCGAAACUGGGCCUUUGUUGGAUAUGUAUGUACACUCGCUAACUGGUUUAUCUGUGGCCUGUAGCCUGUAGGACAGGACCACGGUUAUAGGGAGGGACUAGCUUGGGUUGGAAUGCAUCGCCAUCAUGCGUCCUGCACCACCAUCUGUUUCGUGUUGUAAUUCUCAAAAAAAAAAAAUGUUUCGUGUUGUAGCUAGACUGCUACUAGAGGAUAGCUCGACACUCGACAGGGCCGAUGGUGAAGUGAGAAGAGUUGCCAAUGUCUUCGGAGGGUUGGGCGGCUCAUUGCCAAGCAGAUUCUAACAAAACCAGUGAGCCGAGAGGGAAGUGCCUGGUGGCGUCCUAAUAGUACACGUUUUAGUCGCGUAACAAUCGCCGCUUCUCGUAAGUUCAGAGGGUAGGAAUGGCAAUGGAUGCUAAAGUGAAGAUCCUUCCAUGAAGCCGCGGGAGGCUCGAUGAUCCAAAGAGCGUGGUUGUUCCACACUCGAACACAUUAUACCCACAACGAACAGUAAAUCUGAAGAAGCAAAAUUGGCUUAGAUUAUGAACAGAAGUUGUAGGUGCUUGCAAAAUUUAGUGGCCCUGGUGAUGGUGGAUGCCCUCUACGUGACACCCCGGAAGACUCGGACCAUAUAUUCUUCACCUGUGUUACAACACAAUUCCUUUGAAGCUGUUUUAGAGAAGUCUACGGCGGCACAUGGUGCCACGCCAACUUCCUAGACCUGUUUGUAGAACUCCAAACCAUGCCCGUGGGCUCUCGUCACAUUAGGUGGCUUGGGAUUGGAAUUCUAGCAUGGACACUUUGGACGAUCCGUAACAAGUUGGUGAUUGCACAUACGCCUUUACGACGGUCCACUGAUGCGUUGUACAAGCUUUGUGGUUUCCUGCAGCUCUGGAGCUGCUUAGUCGUCGACCGGAGCACGCCUGCAUCGACUCCAUCACCGCCAGCCUACGCUCCGUCGCACUUCGCCUGUCGCCGCCUCUCCCGCCGCCGCCGUCGCCCAAGCCUGAUUAGUCGCCCCUCGCAUGGGUGCGGCAUGUAUGAUGCCUUUUUUCUCUCUGGGUUUGUUGAGCUGUGUCCUCAGCAAAACCUUACAUGCUUUGUGCAUACUCCUAUGUCGUGUUGGGUGGUGUGUGUUGUGUCCUAUUGUUGCACUAGACCUUGUUGUUGGCAGAUUGCUUUAUCUAUAGAGCGGGACGAAAGCCUAUUUUGGUAAAAAAAAAUAGUGGCCAAAUGACAUCCCGUGAGCUCCAUACCGAAAAUAACAAUAUUGAUGAUCAAUAUAUUUUGCACUGUUGAGCAGAAUUUUUUGUUUCGUUUGCAUGGAGCUCAUUGGAUGCUAUUUGGCCACGAAAUUUUGCAAGCACGUACAACAUCAUAACCGAAGCCAGAAAGUUUCAGAUUUUCUUUUACUGUGGCGAAGUGUGCUGGAGGUGGAAGAAAUGCUGCAAACCAAUGGAUUCCGAUCCGACGGUCUGGCGCAAACAAGACUGAUUCUGGAUUUAGGCGGUCCCUUCUUCCCUCCUAUGAGAAUGCGCCUAUGUUUUCAAGGCCGUUCUCGAGAGCAUGAACAAGUUGGACGCAACGAGCCAGUCGCAUCAAUCAAACCAAUGGCGACGACGCUACGUGCAGGAUCUGCGCUUUCCACCACUUGGCAAAGGGGUUCCACUUUCCCACCACCACCGCCGCAUCUCUUCCACGAACUCGUGCAGGCCACCAGCUAGCGGGCAAUCGAGCACCUGGCGGACUCGCUGAAUCUCCCCCCACUUUGCCCGGAACACGAGAAUAUACACACGCGACGCGAAUCGAAUCACAGUCGAUCGCGCUUUAUUCUCUCGUGUGUGGCCAUGCCACCGGCACCGGGCAAAGCAUGCCAUUGCCAUGGCCAUGCACGCACGUACGGGGCCGAGAAAAGCCACCCGCCCGGCCGGCAUGGCAUGGCCGGCCGGCCGUCGAUCGGAACGAUUAUUCCUCUGGGAUUCCCUCCGGGCGCCGACCCGUCCAUGUCGUACCGUAAAAACCUCUGAAACCUUGUCACCUGUCGGCUUUUCAUGCCGUUUGGAGAGAUUUGACGCUACGACGGCGGGCCUGGCUCCGGCCACCCUGGGAGAUGCUGUUCUGCUGGGUGUGCCAUGGCCGUUGGUUUGUCCACUCACCUAGACUUUCGGCGCUCCCUCGGAUACGCAAGGCUUUGGUUUCCCGCCGUCGACAUUAUAGGAAGGCCGGCAUUGCAUUUUUACGUAUCCAUUCCAUCCACGGGUGUGUGAGUUCCGUGGCAUGGUUUGGAUCUCUCUUUUUUCUUUGGGAAUCUCAUAUCUGAUAUUCCUUGAGCAAAAAGUAGUCAGCAUAUAUGCAACUAAAGCAUUCGUGGUUGUCUUCUUCGUUCGACUGUCCAGUGUCCGCUGGAAUUUGGCAAGGAGAAGAGACACCUAUAGACGCUUUUGUCAUGCUAGGCUUUGAAUACCGUAAUAGUCACACACCAGGAAAUGAGAUCUAGUUAACAACUGAAGGAAUAUUAGCGGAGGAUUCAUCCCAAAGCAAUGCUGGUUUGCAAUCCUUCACGAUCAAUUAAGAGAGCUGGAGAAACCGGAGUUUGCCGUGGAACGAACCAAAGGAAGGUAUCCAAGUCGCCGCACCAAAAGCCAUUCAAAUGCUUUCCCUGAUUGACAUAUCAAUUGCCAAGAUCUAAAGAGAGCCAAUAGAUCCAGCAGCGCCUAUCCCUGCAUGCCCUUCGUUGGCGCCUGAUCAGACGUCGCCGAAGUGGGGGUAAACUUAAAAGACCUUUAUUCAAUGCGGGUGUGUCACCGUACCUCGCCAAUACCAUCAAAAACCAGAACGUAAGGGAAACAAGGACCUAGUAGAACUAAGAUUAAUGAAAUGAGUGAGUACCCACUCCUCUAGCUACCAAUGAGGCCACGGGAUGGGAAGGAGGAGAAGUACAGAGGCAACGACCUAGAAGAGACCAUGGGUGUCGGCUAGGGUUGAUGAAUGAUGCGUCCUCGUUUCCUUGGUUUACCGUUUGUAACUUUGAUAGUUUGGAUCGUUAAUAGAGGUGGUUCUACUCGGUUUCCACCUAUAAUCCAAAUGUAAAAAACUCCAUAAUAUAAUGUAAUGAAAAAUAUAUAUCAAAGAGACACUGAGUACAAUGUACUAUUCAUGAGGAUAUAGGGGCACCCGAGAGCUGUUACUCCUUUCUAUAGCCCCUCGAAUAUCAAAUCUCAAAUAUAGCAUCAACGAUUUUGGAAUUUAAGGGAAGCUACAUUUAUACGAGUUUGAAUAUUGUUCUAGUUCCACCAAGCCCCUCGAACAUUAUAUAUUUACCUCCCAAUAUAGACAGUCAUGUAAUACGGAAGGAAGUCAUCUUUCACAGCUGAAAAACUCGCUCCGUACGUGAUUGUAGUUGAGAUGGGGAGAGUGAUGACCAACUGCAACCAUCAAAUGCAUAUAAACUUUAGCUACUUUGACUAGACAAAUAACAAGCGAUGACAAAUAUUUUAGGCAUGGAUGGUCGAAAAUAUCCAAUUAGAGAAAUGGGAAGUUCACACUUUGUGCUCGUUCUUGACUAGAAAAAACACUAGGAUAGAAUUACCACCCGAGUGGUUAUAAUCAAGAUGCCAAAUGGAUUGUGUAUUGGAUGUAAUGAUGCAUAGGAUAUUAAAAGCUAUGUACAAUAACACAUCUACUUUAUGGUGGUGAAUUGUGGUGUUAUCAUACUUGUUUGGAGACUUAGUCACGCCAACAUACCUAUAUUCAAACCCCUUGAUUCAAGUCUUCUAGGAGCAUUAGAGCAUGGUUAAUAAUGUAGCCAGCUGCUGGUUGUAAGAUGUUGUCAUGUCAUUUAUAGCCAGUAUAAUAGCCAACAAAUAUACUACUCCCUUCGUUCCGAAUUACUUGUCGCGGGUAUGGAUGUAUCUAGAUGUAUUUUAGUUCUAGAUACAUUCAUUUCUGCGACGAGUAAUUUGAAAUGGAGGGAGUAGUAGUUAGCUAUAAGGAAGUACCACUUUAUUAACAUAUGGCCCAUCUUACACUGUUAUAAAGUUUCUAGGAGCAUGCGUUGCAGCUAGCUGUUAAUCUAUAGUCCGCUUCUCUUCUCCCUCCUCUUCUCUUUCUUCCAGCUCAAUAAAAAUAAAGAAAUGAAAACAAAAUCAUCUAUGGAAAGCCAAAAUUUAUGGAAGGGAGAAUUCGUUCAUCAAGGCCGCUCGGAAAUCUCAAUGCUCCACCUUAUACCGAUGCUAGGCCACAUUGCGUAGGCCAAAAGACUGAUACAGUAGGGUAACUAAGAGGACCAUAGAUGAUUAGAAAAACAUAUUGUGUAGUUUCGUCCCUCACGCACAAGCAUUUGCUCUAGGCACCGUGCAUCGAGAGGGGCCUGAUGGUGACUCCGCACACAAUCUCAAGAGAUAGAGAAUUAAAAUAUCACAUGCAUGCAUGCAGCUGGAUAUCCAUCGUCCAUGCAUGAUCGCUCACUGAUAACGUCCCGGGGCAAUGCGCGCACGCUCCCAUGUCGAGCAACUGCCGGUUUUCCCUUGUCAACGUCCACCCUGCCAGCGCCAUCACACUGUAGCUGCAGUGAGAACACAGGCGGUCUGUCUGCCCAUGGCGGCCUCACGGCCAUGCAUGAGCCGGGACGGAGCUGCGAGGCAUGGACACGCGCUGGCAUCUGACACCGGCGCUAGCAGGCAAGCAAGUACGCGCCCGAUCGCCCAUCUUGCCCAUAAACCUGCCCGGCACAAAGAAACGAAGCACGAGCUAUAGAGCUAGUGAUCGGUCGUCCGGCUAGCCGGUCGCGCCACCCGAGUCGCUGUCCCCUCUACUUAUAGGCGGGGUGUAGCGACCAGCGCCCAUGCAUGCAUGCACAGAUGCACGCACUGCACCGCGGCAUCUCGAUCGGAGAAGCUUCUCUUGGUUGGCUGGUGUUGGUUCCACGUGCCCACGGCCGGCCGUCGGCGGCGUGGAAAGCAGCGGGGAUCGACCGGUCGCCAUGCUGCGCGGCAGUGGCCUGACGCGAUGCGCCGUCACGACGCGCUCGGCGUCUCGCGCCGGCGAUCUCCCGUGACGCCGACGGGGGCUCUGGACGUAGACGUGCGGUGGCUGGUUGAUGAUGUGAUCUCCUCCCGGCGGUGAUCGCGCGGGGUCGUACGGGGUGGGCGUCCGUUGCGCGCGGCCGGAUCGAGGGAGCCGGUGGCGGUUUCUUCCCGGACGACACGGCGGUACGGGCCGCCGGGAGCCCGACAGGCGCACGGCGACAACGUCGCGGUGGCGGGGAAACGACGCGGCCGGCCAGCUUGUGGGCAGGGCGGCGGGCCCGAUUCGGCGGUAUCAUGCACUAUCACUGCACGCAUUGCGUCCUGCGUCCCCACGUCUCUUUUAUCCAUUUCUUCCAUCAGUACGUACGAUGCUAGCAUCUUGCUAUAUGUCUUUCACGGAACAGCGGCGCCACCACGGACGAGAGGCAAGCGUCCGUGAGGCUGGUCACAGCCGAUGCCGAUGGAUGCCGCUGUGCAUGGCGAUGGCGUCGACGUAGUACGUGACGAUGGCAGGGCCGGGCAGCGCAUGGGCGCCGGGCGCGACCUAAAGCUCGGGACCGAAGAGGGGCAGACGAUCCAAGGGGUUACUGGUGCUAGGACUUACGAGAAAGGUGCAACAGCUUCCCUACACCAUCAUGAACAGUAAAUUCAUAAAAAAAUUGAAAAAAAAACUUUCAGGGAUCAAAGACGAUUGGAGCCCUCACCAAAAAAGCAAAAUCACUGCUCAAAAGUGCACAUAAACUUUUGAACAGUGAUUUUGUUAUUUUUAGGUAAGGACUCCUCGAAUGUUAUUUGUAGUAGAAACUUUGCAUGAUCAUCAAAUGUUUGAUCAUGUUUGAUGUCCCAAAGUUUCAGAUUUCUUUGUUUUGUUUUCAUUUCUUUAUGAAUUUACUAUUUAUGGAGGGUGUAGGGGCACCCGGGUGCUGAAAGUCCUGUCUCAAGACUUAGGCUUCGGCUCUUUCUCUUUGCCUUCUUAUUGGACAGGGACUCUAGUUUGUUAUUCUCAUAUGCAGGCCAAGUAGGCUGAUAGCUGAUUUAGGAAAGAGAAAUGGAAAAGUUCUUUUGAAAUUGUAUGCAAAUUAGUUCAAAGUAAUAAUAAUUCCUGUAGCAUCUAAUGGACACAUCUUCGAUUCCAGGAUUUCAAAUCUUUCAGGAGAUUUCAAGUUCACAAAAUUUGCUUCAAGUUGUGUUUUUUCGAAUAAGAAGCUACAAACGCAGAGAAAAUAGGGUAGACCUACAACUUUCCACUAAUAGGUUUUACAUCAACAAUAUGGUGCAAGAGAUAACCAAGUUCAUUCUAAUCUGAAUCAUGUACUACUCAAGGCGGAGAACAUGAACUCCUUUCAAGGAAUAAUCAUCAGGACCUGUUGGUGCUGCUCCCUCUGCCCGAAGUGCAUGCACAUUUUCGGAAUAACAAAAGGUUCCUUGGCUCUUCUAGUCACCAUACAAAGAACUAUAAGGCUAAAUACAAACUCAACGGAAAUCUCAAGCCACAUGCAUCAUACCGGCAUUACAAAACCUAAGUUUGAUAAACAUUUUUCUUUCAAAUGUAGAUGCCAUAGCAUGCCAACAAGAGUGUCAUACCCCCAUGACAUCUGGCCAAUAUGUGUCAACAAUUUCCAUUACUUAAGAGCAAAGAUAAAAUAUCACCAAACUACCACCAAGACAAAAUGGGAAGAUUUUAACAAUCAUUGUGCACAAUACACUAAUUGUUGGUUCAGGAUGGGUGCCAUCCGUGUAUUCCCUUUGUAUCCCGGUUCAACUCGUACCCUACUCAACUAUAGAGAUACCAUCAGAAUGGUGUUCAUAUCAAAACCCAUGAUGCCAACUAAGAGAAGCAUCUUCUCUUAGCAAACAAGGCAAGUAAAUAUUUAACGAAGUCCCCUUUUUAUCGCCAGGAUUGUACUACACAUAACUCGUAGCACAUGUUGCAUAUAAUGUAAAUUUCCAUACUGUCGAUUCAUUCUAAACUUGGCCUGAUCAUCCUGGUCAUCCCGGCAUAGGGAUGAUGCGAAAUAUUAUUAGCAAUUUUGUUUCUCUGAUUUAAAAUGAUGAUAAGUUCCACAAUUUUCGGAUUUCACGUGCUCUGCGUAUGCUACAUGGAAAGCUUAUUUUGAGGCCAUUGUACCUUGAAAUCCAAACAGAACCACUCCAUUUCCUUGAACGCGUGCAAGGCAAUAUUUGUUGUCUGAUCAAAAUAUUGACUAGACCUCUCUUAUUCACACGUGAAACAAUGCAUUUGCCAAAAUAAUGAGAGAAAUUAAGCUCGUUGCCGGGUGAGAAUAAAUACAUUUGAAACGACAAUGUCGUAGAAGGUGGCCUGUGGCUACCACUUGUAAGACGGUUCUGCUUCUUUCUUUCUUUUUUGCCGCAACCUGUUGCAUUAGUAGUUUUUGCUUUUCGGAGACCUGGUUUUGACCACUUGAAGUGUAUUUGAGUUUCGUUUUCAACAUGAAAAUGGAGCUGGGGGUGCCCCUUUUUAUCAAAGAAAAACAAUGCCGGAGAAUUCACACCUCAGUUUGAAUGAUUAUUGUAUGGUUCUGAGGACUGAUAUUCGGCACUUCGUCUCGUAUGUUCACACACAACAUAGUUUGGUUUCAUAGCCUGGCACCCAGAAAAGCAUAGUAGCUUCUCACGAAUGUGGAUCACCUAGCUGUUUCAGAGCACUCCAGGAACAUGCCAGCAAGGCGUCGAGCACCCAUAGGGUGGCAAAGCAAUGUGGAAAUGUGUGUAAUGAUCCUUCAUUCAGAUUCGGCCAUUUUUUUUUGAAACAAGGCAAAAGAUUUGCCAUUUCAUUAAAUAAGAGAGAAUGUUUGUGACAGAGCCCAACAAAGGGCGAAAAAGAAAGAGGCCGUUACUCUCGCGGCAUUACAGAACCCAGAUGCUUAGCACCCGCUAACACCCACAAUCUAAUCUCUUCUCUGAUGUCACGCACGAUCACCGUGGAGGGGGUCGCGUCAUUGCAGAAGACCCUCGCAUUACGUUCCUUCCAGAGCCCCAAGAAAUCAACAUUAGCAUGGAUGUGAUGGCCUUUCUCAAGUGGCCUCUAGCUUGGGUGACUCCAAUCCACCACUCGCUGACCGAACCCGUCACGGUCCAAGCCCGGGGGGUGACAUCCAGGAGGCCAAGCCAGGCAACGAUGUCACACCAAACUCUGACCGAGAAGUUGAGUACGUUAUGUAUCAAUGACAUGGAACAGAUAAAAGAUGGUCACCUUUCCAAAGAGAUGAAGUGAUUAAUGUGAUUCCACAUGAUUAUGCUCAAGAAAAUUAAUCCUAACCUUAACACGGUUCCACUUAGGUUAGCAAUUCAUUGUAGCCCCGGGGGGCUGGCGUUAAGAACCAGGAUUUGUUUCAGAUGUUGGGAUUGCUGACUGUAACUCCUUCCAUGAGUAAUAAAAAAUUCGCUUUUUUACCUUAAAAAAA